rnacentral:lncRNA from 1 species
AAAUAUGAGAAGUUUGGUAGAGAAGGUAAAAAGGAAGUCUAUAUAAGGAGGGGAACGAGCUUUGUUUAUAGCACAAGUGAAACUCCACUUUAUUGAACGAUGGGGUCUCAAAUGGGCUGCCUCUUUGCCACUCUUUUGGUAGUAUCAGUCUCUCUUAGCUACUUGCCGUUAGAAGCCUCCGCAAACAAAUACUACUACACAUCUCCUCCCCCUCCCAAGUACAAGUCUCCACCACCACCCCCGCCACCGGUUCACAAUUCUCCACCACCACCCCCGGUUUACCUGCCCCCGCCACCUCCUCCACCAGUCUACGUGCCUGCUCCGGCACCAACUCCAAUUUUCCCUUCUCCGCCACCUCCUGUCCCCAAGUCCCCACCACCACCUCACCCUUACGUCUAUGCAUCUCCCCCUCCUCCUUACUACUACUAGAAAGCGGCCAUGAAUAGCUCAUGCUUUUAUGGUAAUCUCAUUUAUUUUUAAAACUGUACAUGUAAAGACUAGUAGUUCAGAAUUACAUUAAGCAUUUCAAUUUUAAGCACCGUGUUCUGUUUAAUUGCGUUCCUAUUGAUUAAGUGACAAAUAAAAGAGAUUGAUUAAUUUGUUCUUGUAGGAGAGGCGAAUGGUAUCCGAAUAAAGAAAGCAAGGGUUUGAUGGAAGGCUUACUUGGAGCAAGAUAGCGAUCAAUCGAGUUGCUGCGUUUUAUUCUCUUUUAUCUUUGUUUUUUAAGAAAAAUAAACUGCCACACGUAGAAACAGAAAAUUAAGUUCUUGUCAUUUUCAUGCAUAUGGAUUGUUGCUGUGUGUGUCAAUCAAAUCUCCGUUGUGUCAUUUGUAAUUUUCAACCUUUAUGCAUGCAAAUGCGAGACCUCUUACGUAUAAUAAAAUUAAUAUACUUCCCAAGAUGGUCUUAUCUUGCGUUGACUUUUUACGUUCCUUUGGUGAUGAUUUUGACGUUUGAAAUUGAUGACUAAUUGACUAUUGUUUUUGUAAACUCUGACAUGGAUUUUUCGUGCAACUACAGAGCGCAUUAACGAGAGACUUAUCCAUGAGGGUCCAUGCAGAUCAGUGUCUAAUUAACCAAUAAUUAAUAUAACUAAAAAAAUAUAGAGUUAACUAUUUUUAUGGGUCAGGCUCAAUUGCAGAUGUUCGUACAAAAUUUCUUGCUAAUGUAUACUUGAGUAUGAUAAUAAGUUUUAAUCAUUAUUAAUAAUUCACUUGAUAAUAUUAAACAAAUUUUCAUAUCAAUUAAGUUACAAAAUUUCUGUGACAAAUUUCCGCGUACUGGAACCAUGCAAAAGGGCUUUAUUCAAACAAAACUGCAUAGCCGUUGGCAAUUAAAAUUAUUUAUCAAUUAAGUUAAGUAGUAAGAAUUGGAUUGUGGAUUCCAUUAAUUAUUUCAAGGAAAAUUUUAUAGAUAAUGCCGUAAUGAAAUUUACGGCAUCAAUACCAUGAUAAAUAUAAAUAUUGUAAAUUACAAAUAGAAUUAGUAAAUGUAAAGUAAAACCAGUAAAUUCAUAAAAGAUUAUUAAUUAUUUAAAAAAUUAACAUUGUUUCUACAUAAUUUUAGUGAAAAAUAUUUUAUUCAUUUACAAAAACAUUUCUUUAAUUAAACAAAAAAAUUCAUUAAUUAAGCAAAAAAAUUAUACUGAAAAAAAAGUGGAAUAAGUUUAAUUGAAUUGGUUAUCAUAAAUUCUAUAUUUAGUCUAGGACAUUUUUAUACAUUUUCUUCCCAUUUUCGAUAAUGAUAUCUAUUUGUUACACAUGUUAAUUAAGUGCAAUUAUUUAUCUUGAUGUGGAUCAAGUAAAAAAAUAUCAUAAAUAAGAUAUCAAUAAAAUUAGAUCUAAUUUUGAAUAUUAUGUAUACUUUAUGUAGUUUCAAACUUUUUACUUGUAUUUGGAGACCAUUUAAGGUUGUUGUUGAAGAAGUGUAGAAAGAUGUAAAAUAACUUCAUCUUACAACAACUAUGAAAGAUAUUAAAAUAAUAAUUUUUUCAAAAUCCGAUUUUGAGAAAAAAAUUCAUCCUUAAUUAAACAUCACAUGUAUUAUAGAAAUGCAAAACUACCAUUGUUAUAUUUAACUUAAAAAAUAAUAAAUAUAUAAGGUAAUAAACAUUAUAAAGAGUUUUUAUUUUAAAAUUGUAAACUUUUGUUUCUGACAAUAACUCUUAUAUUAAUUUAUUUAUUUUGCCUUUUAUUCAUAAGUUUUAUGCAUAAUUUACAAACUUUAAGUUUUAUUUUGCAUUUUAUGUUGAUUUGGUUUUUUUAUAUUAUACGUACAAGUUUUCUUUUUAUUUACCAGUAAUACAUCAAUUUAUCAGCUUGAUAGUAAUUUACUUAUUUUACCUUCCUUUUACAAUUCUUAUGUUUCAUUUCCAAAAUUUAUGUUUUAUUUUACAGUUGUUGAUGAUUUACUAGUUUUAUGUUAUGUUUGCAAGUUUUUGUUUUGUUUACUAGUAAUAGAUUAAUGGGUAAUUUUUAAUUGAGUCCUCAUUAGUUCUAGAAAAACAAUUCAGAGACCAGAAGUUUACUAAAUGAAUCAAUUAAAUUCUUUCAAGUACAAACUAAUGUCAUUCAAGUCCUUAACUUAAUUGGUCAGUUAAAAAUAUUAACAACGUUGAGGACAUUUUAGUAAAACAACAAUUGAGUCGUUUCUCAUUCUUUAUUUUUGACAGGUGGAAAUAGUUUAAAGUAAACUCACUUAACCUGAUUAAGUUAAGGAUCAGUUCUUUCAAAUGAAAAAAAAAAAAAAAACCUACAGAAACUGCCAUAUUCUUCGUGUGGGAGGAGAGAUCGAGAGAACGUGGGAUGGUGCAAAAAAUGUUGUAUAAAUCUACUGUGAUUUUGACCAAAGCUUUGGUAGCAUUGAUUGAGUUCAAGUACUGGAGAGAACCUGAGUUUAAAGGUUAGUAACUCUAUUUUUUUAGUGAUUUCUGCAAGCAUUUUCUGAUAAAAAAUUUUCCGUAUUGAGUGAUCGUUGUGAAAAAUUAAGUUUUUCAAGUCUAUUUUACAAAAUGACAAACUAUGUUUAAUUAUUGAUGGAUUCUUUUUUUUGUUCAAUGUUGUAUUUUGUUAAUUUGUUGUUUUUAAUUUGCUCUUAAUGUAAUUGUUAGACCAAAUACACCAUUAUUAUACCUGUAUUCAUUUCAACAAUUUGGUAUCGUUAUAUUAAUAAGAUUGAAUUCAUUGUAUUUGCUUCUUUGUUCAUGUAAAAUUGAAUUCUAUGUAUUCUUAUGAGUGAUAAUUUUUCUAUCUAUUAGACUAAAUUCACUAUAUUCACUACUUUCUUUCUUUUUGCUGGGCUAUUUUUUCUUUUUAGUUUAUAUUUUUUAUAUGUAUUAGAUUGAAUUUGCUUUUGUACGUUUUUUUUAGCCGAAUUACAUGUAUAUUUCAUUUAGGUUGAGUUUUUUUUGUUGUUUGCUAAAUAAAAUUAUAUUGGUUUAUCCCUUUUUUAUGCAAUACUUUUUGUUUAAAAUUAAUACAGUUAGCCAUGUUACCUUUUUUUUCGGUUAAAAUUAAUGGGGUGAUGUAGGCGAUAGGAUAUAGGGAACCAGAGGAAUAUAAGAUUAUUAGGCUGUUUCUUGAAAUUCAAGAUGUCAUGGUUAAGCAUGGACACAGUGAAAUGGAUUUGAUUGAAAUUUUUGUUGUAUUGCCAUGGACUACAAGUGGCCAGAGGAAGCUAAUUUCAAACGAUAGUGAAUUGUAUUGGGUUUUCGAGGAGUUUUUUUUAAUCAAUAGUUGUCCUGUCAUUGAGUUUGAGGUGCACACUGGGUCAGGUGGUCAGUCAUUUCAUGAAAGUGUUGUAAUAGGACCUGAAAAUCCUGUCAAUAUUAAAAAUUAGUGUUGUAAUAGUGAUAAGUUUGAAAAUGUUGUGGCUAAAAAGGUCUGCCUAGAAUAAUUGGUACUUCUUUAUUUGCCUCAAAGUCCAACACUAUGAAAUCCACAAGGAAAAAGAAUUUAUCCACUUUAACCAGCACGUCUUCAAUCUUGCCUUCAGGAUAAGCAUGAGAUCUGGCAGCACAUUGCAAUGUCACUGUGGUUGGUUUGACUUCUCCAACUCCCAAUUGCUUGAAUUCUGAUAAUGUCAUAAGAUUGAUGCUUGCUCCCAAACCACAAAGUGUCUUGCCACUGUAUUUAGUUCCUAUGGAACAAUGAAUUGUGAAACUUCCUGGAUCCUUCAACUUCUGAGGCAUUUUACUCUGAAGCAUAUGGCUGCAUUCUUGUGUUAGACCAACUAUUUCAAAUUCUCCGAGCCUCAUUUUCCUUGCCAAUAUACAUUUCCAAAACUUUACAUAAUUUGGCAUUUGUUCUAAUGCUUCCACAAAAGAAAUGUUGAUAUGCAGUUCUUUCCAUACUUCCAAGAAUUUACUGAACUGCAUGUCUUGCUUUCGCUUUUGAAAUCUUUGUGGGAAGGGUGGUGGAUGUGUAAAUUGUUGUACUGCAGCAGACUAUACAUAUUGCUUUUCUCUUGCUCUAUUAUGGUAUGUUAUUAUUGGUGUUGCAGCUUCUUCCUCAACAAGCAUUGAAUCAUGUUUUUUUGCAGUUGCUAUAACUUAGCAACUCUCACCAGUGUGCUGGAAAAUGGGUUGUUGUGUCUCUUCUUUAAUUUGAGUUUCCCCUUGGGUUGAAUUAGGUUCCACUCUUCUUUUUGGUACUUUAACAAGUAUAUGAACAUCCUUUCCAAACCUUAAGUUAAUCCCCUUACAAUGCUCUUUUCCUUCUCUCUUUCGAUCCUCUGUAUUGUUUAGUAAAUUGUCCUGAGGUAUGUUGCUCAAUUUUGUAGCAAGCUGUCCAAUCUUAUUCUCCAAGUUUCUUAAAAAUACAGCUUGGCUUUAGACCACUACUCCAAUCUUUACAAUAUACUCCUUAAUCAGAGUUUCAAUGGAACUAAAUUGAUCAUUACUGGUGUUUCUUUACCCUUCAAAUUUCUGGUGAAAAUCAGGUGGCUGAGCAAGUCUGUUCUGUCCACUGGAUGCUGCAGCAUGCUGAUUCUGAUUGCUCCUUUUAAAAUUUGGGUGAUGUCUCCAUCCUAGGUUAUAGGUGUUUGAAAAUGGAUUGCUUUGAUUUUGUUUAUUAAAAUUGCCCACAUAAUUGACGGAAGCUGAAUUCCUAGGACAAUUAUGAUAUAGAUGUCCCUCUCCAUAAUAAACACAAGAGACUUCAGCAAUUUGGUUAACUGUUGCCGGAGCAGUGGCCGUUGCUUUUACCAUAUUUGUCAAUGAGGUUACUUGGGCUGAUAAUGUUGUCAGUGCAUCCACAUUGUGUACUCCUGCUGCUCCUCUCACUGUGGCUUGUCUAGUUGAUGGCCAUUGAUAGUUAUCCUUUCUAAAAUUUCAUAAGCCUCAUUAUAUGAGUUAGACAAUAAAGCCCCUAGUUAUUGAGUUCAACCCAUUGUAGAAAGUUUCCAAUUGUAUGCAAUAAGGAAUACCAUGAUGAGGGCAUCUCCUGAGUAACCCCUUGAAUCUUUCUCAUGCAUCAUACAAGCUUUCAUCUUCAAGUUGAUGGAAAGAUGUGAUCUCAUUCUUCAACUUUGCAUUCUUUGUUGGUGGGAAAUAUUUCAUCAAAAGUUUGUCAGCCAAAUAAUUCCAUGUGGUGAUGGAGUCUGGUUGCAAAGAACUCCACUGUACCAACUAAAAUUGAUUUCACAAAACACAAUAAGCACCAAUCCCCGGCAACGGCGCAAAAAACUUGUUGUCGAUUUUCUAAUGCUAUUAGUGUCAAUGUGAAAAUGUACACAACAAGUAAUAUAACGAUAAGUAUUCACUCCACAAGGAUUAUUAUUAUAGGAAUUGCUACAGUAAUUCUAUCAGUGCCAUUCUUAUUAUAAAUUAGAAUUUAAACAAAUUAUUCAACUAAUGAACUAAGGCAGAUCUUAUUGGGCUAGUCGGCAAUGUGUUGCUUUAGGUCGUGUGGAAUAGUUGCGGGAGUGAUCUUGCAUGAUGUGUGGAGCUAUAACAGUGCUGAGCAUGGGCCAAUCUAUGGGCUCAUGGAACUAGCGAACCUAAUCUAGAAUUUCGAGGAAGAGUACUCUGGUUAGUACUCUAAAUUACCUUAUUAUAUUUUGCACAAACAGAGGCAUGUUAGUGAAAUAAUAUCUAAGCAACCCAAGAGGGGGGUGAAUUGGGUUUCUAAAAAUUAUGCAAUUCUUAAACAAAACUUAAUGCAAAUCUUAAACGAAUUUAAAGCAAUAAUACAUAAAUCAACCAAGGUAUAAAAAGAUAAGGGAAGAGAGAUUAAAACACAGAGAGUUUUACGUGGUUCGGCCAACCUUGCCUACAUCCACACCCCCAAGCACACCGAGCUUGGGCAUUCCACUAGUCAAGCCUUCAAGGCUUCAAGAACACUUACAAUUGACUUCUUAGGUGUCAAUCAACCUUUACAUCUAGAGAUUAUCCCCAAUCUCUUAACCCAAGUGUAUCCCAAUAUUUACAAUCACUCAAAAUAAAGAUUACAAAUUUAUUUUUCUCUCACACAAUUUUUUAAGAUUACAAAUCAACGCUUAAUGUGUGAAUAAAUGAACAAGAAUGAAUUUGAAGCUCAAUGAAUGUUGUAUUCUCGAUUAUAAGCUCAAUGAUAACGUUGUGAUAAGCUCUUGUUUGAAUUUGAUUGAUCUUAUUUAUAGUUGGAGUUGAAAAAUAGCCAUUGUUGACUUUUUCCCGAAAUUGGAUCGCCGUUAACCGUUAUCGGUUAACCGUUUUGACUGGUCCAAGUGACCGUUGAGCUGAAUUUCAAAUAAACGGUUGAUCUUUUGACACUAUCGGUUUGCUGUUAAUUUCCAUAAACCUGUAAAACAAAUUUAUGCUAUUCGUUCUUGCUAAACGGUUGAAGGUCAGCAUGGAAUGACAUUCUAGAAAUUAUUGGUUGGCCGUUUGAAGUUCACGGUUCACCGUUUACUUCUAGAAUCACAGUUUUAACCAAAUUUCGCAGGGAAUGCUUUUUCGGUUAAAGUUAACGAUUAUCCAUAUUUCAUGAACACAUUUAGAAAAAUCAUACGACUUUUGAGAAAUUGUUUAGUAAUGAAAACUCUAACAUUUUAAUCAAAUACAUUUAAAGUUUGUUAUCAUCAAAAUCAAUAUAAUGAACAUCUACAUGUUAACAGUUAGGCCUUGAUUAUUUUUUAAAUCUUAUAAGAUAUAGAGUGAUAAUAGUAACUCAAUUUUCAUAAAACGUGGAAAGAUCAGUCGCCAAAUUUAUAGAUGCCAUAGAAAACCUAGAUUUUAGUAAGGAAUAUCAAGUUAUUUAUACAAUGAAAAUUGUUAAAACUCGAUUAAUUGCAAGGAAACACUUUUAGAGAGAUAUGGAGAGAAUAAACUUUGAAGAUAACAAUGAAAUACAUGACACAUUUAAGGAAGAAAAUAUAAUAGUAUUAAUAGAAUCUAUUUUAACCGGUCUUAAGAUAAUUCAAGAUUGAUGCAAAAUAAAUAACAGGACUCUAAACCGUCCAUAAUAAGUCUAUUGAUUAAUAAUAACAAUAAUAGUGAUGUGAAAUUUUUUAUUCAGAAUGCUCAAUUUAGAUUAUAAUAUCUAUGUGAAAGCAUUGAUGGCAUGUACCUUGGUUAGGAAAAUAGAUUGGACACAUGGAUAUAUAUGUUGGAAGAACAAAUCUAGUUUAUAUCUCAAGAGAGAUAAUAAAUUAUAAAUGACGGUGCUAUAGUAUAUUCAGAUUUUAUAAAUCUUUAUAAAUUUAAUAAUCAUUUAGAUCUUCAUAAUAUUAUAAUAAAACUUUAAAAAACUUUAAAAAUAUAUGUAGAAGAGAUGGAAGAAGAAAUCAUCCAAUUAUUCAAAAUCAAUUAAACAAAAAUAGAAGGUAAAAUCCUUGAAUUAUAUAAAUUAUACAAUUUCACAGAAAUUUUGCAUAUAUUGCGAAACGGUCCUUGUGGCACUAAUUAUGGGACUAGUGUAGCAUAAAUACUAAUAUUGCUUUUUAUUUUGUAAAUUAAUUGUUGCGUCAUAAUUUUUUUACAUACACAUUUUAUGUUUUAAAAUAUGAUUUUUUUUUUGUAUUUAGGGUUAAUUUUACAAUUUCAUACUUUGUUCAAUUAUAUGUACAGGUCCUUCACGUGUUGGUUGAUGUUGAAUAUUCAAAGAUCCACAAGCUAUCAACGACAACGAAUCAAAUUAAACUAAUUAGUUAAUACAUAAUGACUGGGUUGUUUCCUAUGUUGUUAAUGAUGUAGAACGUUAUUUUAGGAUUUUAGAAUUUUAAUUUUUAGGUCUUCUGAUAUUUUCUUUUUUAAUUAAAGUUAGUGUCUUAGUUUUUUAUUUAUUUAUGUUAUAAUUAUAAUUUACUUUCUCUUUUUAAGUUAACUUAGGAAAAUAUAUUUACUGUAUUAUAAAUAAAGAGAUCUUGUUAUUACUUUAUAACUUCAACUUCAGUUAUUCAAUUAAAAACCCCUCUUUUAUAAUUUCCUUUUGUAUUAUCUAUUAAAAACCCCUCUUUUAAAGUUGUUUGAUUAGAGCAUCAUCUAGCCUUGCUUAACGCAGUAUAAAAAAUCCCUUUGAGUUUAAUCACACGUCGAUUAGAGCGUAACUUAAUCGCAUUGACUUGGUCCAUGACUUGAACGAUAUCUAGUGUUUUGCUUCCGCUAUGCCCAAGGAGAAAAUUAAUUUCACCGUGAGAUAAGAGCAUUAAAAGGAAUUCAUAAGAAAUUUAAAUUAAAGCUAUAUAUGUUAAAUAUAUCGCUAGCUACUUGUUUUUGGAGGAAUUAAAACAAUUAAUAAGCUGCGAAGUGAAAAUGAAUAAAUAAAUGAAAUGAGGUUGAAAAUAAGUCUCGCCGCCUGGAUCCAAGGCCAAAACAUUCAUGAUAAGUUAGGUAAUUAAGUACAUGUUUUCAAGCUCUUCAUGAAGAAUAACGUUAUUGAAAUAAAUCACAAAGACUCCCUGCGCAAAUUAUUACAUUGAUUAAAAAAAAAAGCCAUAUCUUUAACAGGAUCGUGACUCUCGGACUGUUAAUUACUUUAUUCCCUGCUUGGCCAACAGCUGGCCACUAAACAAAAUCAUAAAAAUUUUAAAUUUAGUCAAAUUGGUCCCACUUGAUGACAUCCUUUUCAUACAUAAAAUUGUUAACGUCAAGGUUAAAUAUGAGAAGUUUGGUAGAGAAGGUAAAAAGGAAGUCUAUAUAAGGAGGGGAACGAGCUUUGUUUAUAGCACAAGUGAAACUCCACUUUAUUGAACGAUGGGGUCUCAAAUGGGCUGCCUCUUUGCCACUCUUUUGGUAGUAUCAGUCUCUCUUAGCUACUUGCCGUUAGAAGCCUCCGCAAACAAAUACUACUACACAUCUCCUCCCCCUCCCAAGUACAAGUCUCCACCACCACCCCCGCCACCGGUUCACAAUUCUCCACCACCACCCCCGGUUUACCUGCCCCCGCCACCUCCUCCACCAGUCUACGUGCCUGCUCCGGCACCAACUCCAAUUUUCCCUUCUCCGCCACCUCCUGUCCCCAAGUCCCCACCACCACCUCACCCUUACGUCUAUGCAUCUCCCCCUCCUCCUUACUACUACUAGAAAGCGGCCAUGAAUAGCUCAUGCUUUUAUGGUAAUCUCAUUUAUUUUUAAAACUGUACAUGUAAAGACUAGUAGUUCAGAAUUACAUUAAGCAUUUCAAUUUUAAGCACCGUGUUCUGUUUAAUUGCGUUCCUAUUGAUUAAGUGACAAAUAAAAGAGAUUGAUUAAUUUGUUCUUGUAGGAGAGGCGAAUGGUAUCCGAAUAAAGAAAGCAAGGGUUUGAUGGAAGGCUUACUUGGAGCAAGAUAGCGAUCAAUCGAGUUGCUGCGUUUUAUUCUCUUUUAUCUUUGUUUUUUAAGAAAAAUAAACUGCCACACGUAGAAACAGAAAAUUAAGUUCUUGUCAUUUUCAUGCAUAUGGAUUGUUGCUGUGUGUGUCAAUCAAAUCUCCGUUGUGUCAUUUGUAAUUUUCAACCUUUAUGCAUGCAAAUGCGAGACCUCUUACGUAUAAUAAAAUUAAUAUACUUCCCAAGAUGGUCUUAUCUUGCGUUGACUUUUUACGUUCCUUUGGUGAUGAUUUUGACGUUUGAAAUUGAUGACUAAUUGACUAUUGUUUUUGUAAACUCUGACAUGGAUUUUUCGUGCAACUACAGAGCGCAUUAACGAGAGACUUAUCCAUGAGGGUCCAUGCAGAUCAGUGUCUAAUUAACCAAUAAUUAAUAUAACUAAAAAAAUAUAGAGUUAACUAUUUUUAUGGGUCAGGCUCAAUUGCAGAUGUUCGUACAAAAUUUCUUGCUAAUGUAUACUUGAGUAUGAUAAUAAGUUUUUAAUCAUUAUUAAUAAUUCACUUGAUAAUAUUAAACAAAUUUUCAUAUCAAUUAAGUUACAAAAUUUCUGUGACAAAUUUCCGCGUACUGGAACCAUGCAAAAGGGCUUUAUUCAAACAAAACUGCAUAGCCGUUGGCAAUUAAAAUUAUUUAUCAAUUAAGUUAAGUAGUAAGAAUUGGAUUGUGGAUUCCAUUAAUUAUUUCAAGGAAAAUUUUAUAGAUAAUGCCGUAAUGAAAUUUACGGCAUCAAUACCAUGAUAAAUAUAAAUAUUGUAAAUUACAAAUAGAAUUAGUAAAUGUAAAGUAAAACCAGUAAAUUCAUAAAAGAUUAUUAAUUAUUUAAAAAAUUAACAUUGUUUCUACAUAAUUUUAGUGAAAAAUAUUUUAUUCAUUUACAAAAACAUUUCUUUAAUUAAACAAAAAAAUUCAUUAAUUAAGCAAAAAAAUUAUACUGAAAAAAAAGUGGAAUAAGUUUAAUUGAAUUGGUUAUCAUAAAUUCUAUAUUUAGUCUAGGACAUUUUUAUACAUUUUCUUCCCAUUUUCGAUAAUGAUAUCUAUUUGUUACACAUGUUAAUUAAGUGCAAUUAUUUAUCUUGAUGUGGAUCAAGUAAAAAAAUAUCAUAAAUAAGAUAUCAAUAAAAUUAGAUCUAAUUUUGAAUAUUAUGUAUACUUUAUGUAGUUUCAAACUUUUUACUUGUAUUUGGAGACCAUUUAAGGUUGUUGUUGAAGAAGUGUAGAAAGAUGUAAAAUAACUUCAUCUUACAACAACUAUGAAAGAUAUUAAAAUAAUAAUUUUUUCAAAAUCCGAUUUUGAGAAAAAAAUUCAUCCUUAAUUAAACAUCACAUGUAUUAUAGAAAUGCAAAACUACCAUUGUUAUAUUUAACUUAAAAAAUAAUAAAUAUAUAAGGUAAUAAACAUUAUAAAGAGUUUUUAUUUUAAAAUUGUAAACUUUUGUUUCUGACAAUAACUCUUAUAUUAAUUUAUUUAUUUUGCCUUUUAUUCAUAAGUUUUAUGCAUAAUUUACAAACUUUAAGUUUUAUUUUGCAUUUUAUGUUGAUUUGGUUUUUUUAUAUUAUACGUACAAGUUUUCUUUUUAUUUACCAGUAAUACAUCAAUUUAUCAGCUUGAUAGUAAUUUACUUAUUUUACCUUCCUUUUACAAUUCUUAUGUUUCAUUUCCAAAAUUUAUGUUUUAUUUUACAGUUGUUGAUGAUUUACUAGUUUUAUGUUAUGUUUGCAAGUUUUUGUUUUGUUUACUAGUAAUAGAUUAAUGGGUAAUUUUUAAUUGAGUCCUCAUUAGUUCUAGAAAAACAAUUCAGAGACCAGAAGUUUACUAAAUGAAUCAAUUAAAUUCUUUCAAGUACAAACUAAUGUCAUUCAAGUCCUUAACUUAAUUGGUCAGUUAAAAAUAUUAACAACGUUGAGGACAUUUUAGUAAAACAACAAUUGAGUCGUUUCUCAUUCUUUAUUUUUGACAGGUGGAAAUAGUUUAAAGUAAACUCACUUAACCUGAUUAAGUUAAGGAUCAGUUCUUUCAAAUGAAAAAAAAAAAAAAAAACCUACAGAAACUGCCAUAUUCUUCGUGUGGGAGGAGAGAUCGAGAGAACGUGGGAUGGUGCAAAAAAUGUUGUAUAAAUCUACUGUGAUUUUGACCAAAGCUUUGGUAGCAUUGAUUGAGUUCAAGUACUGGAGAGAACCUGAGUUUAAAGGUUAGUAACUCUAUUUUUUUAGUGAUUUUUGCAAGCAUUUUCUGAUAAAAAAUUUUCCGUAUUGAGUGAUCGUUGUGAAAAAUUAAGUUUUUCAAGUCUAUUUUACAAAAUGACAAACUAUGUUUAAUUAUUGGUGGAUUCUUUUUUUUGUUCAAUGUUGUAUUUUGUUAAUUUGUUGUUUUUAAUUUGCUCUUAAUGUAAUUGUUAGACCAAAUACACCAUUAUUAUACCUAUAUUCAUUUCAACAAUUUGGUAUCGUUAUAUUAAUAAGAUUGAAUUCAUUGUAUUUGCUUCUUUGUUCAUGUAAAAUUGAAUUCUAUGUAUUCUUAUGAGUGAUAAUUUUUCUAUCUAUUAGACUAAAUUCACUAUAUUCACUACUUUCUUUCUUUUUGCUGGGCUAUUUUUUCUUUUUAGUUUAUAUUUUUAUAUGUAUUAGAUUGAAUUUGCUUUUGUACGUUUUUUUAGCCGAAUUACAUGUAUAUUUCAUUUAGGUUGAGUUUUUUUUGUUGUUUGCUAAAUAAAAUUAUAUUGGUUUAUCCCCUUUUUAUGCAAUACUUUUUGUUUAAAAUUAAUACAGUUAGCCAUGUUACCUUUUUUUUCAGUUAAAAUUAAUGGGGUGAUGUAGGCGAUAGGAUAUAGGGAACCAGAGGAAUAUAAGAUUAUUAGGCUGUUUCUUGAAAUUCAAGAUGUCAUGGUUAAGCAUGGACACAGUGAAAUGGAUUUGAUUGAAAUUUUUGUUGUAUUGCCAUGGACUACAAGUGGCCAGAGGAAGCUAAUUUCAAACGAUAGUGAAUUGUAUUGGGUUUUCGAGGAGUUUUUUUUAAUCAAUAGUUGUCCUGUCAUUGAGUUUGAGGUGCACACUGGGUCAGGUGGUCAGUCAUUUCAUGAAAGUGUUGUAAUAGGACCUGAAAAUCCUGUCAAUAUUAAAAAUUAGUGUUGUAAUAGUGAUAAGUUUGAAAAUGUUGUGGCUAAAAAGGUCUGCCUAGAAUAAUUGGUACUUCUUUAUUUGCCUCAAAGUCCAACACUAUGAAAUCCACAAGGAAAAAGAAUUUAUCCACUUUAACCAGCACGUCUUCAAUCUUGCCUUCAGGAUAAGCAUGAGAUCUGGCAGCACAUUGCAAUGUCACUGUGGUUGGUUUGACUUCUCCAACUCCCAAUUGCUUGAAUUCUGAUAAUGUCAUAAGAUUGAUGCUUGCUCCCAAACCACAAAGUGUCUUGCCACUGUAUUUAGUCCCUAUGGAACAAUGAAUUGUGAAACUUCCUGGAUCCUUCAACUUCUGAGGCAUUUUACUCUGAAGCAUAUGGCUGCAUUCUUGUGUUAGACCAACUAUUUCAAAUUCUCCGAGCCUCAUUUUCCUUGCCAAUAUACAUUUCCAAAAACUUUACAUAAUUUGGCAUUUGUUCUAAUGCUUCCACAAAAGAAAUGUUGAUAUGCAGUUCUUUCCAUACUUCCAAGAAUUUACUGAACUGCAUGUCUUGCUUUCGCUUUUGAAAUCUUUGUGGGAAGGGUGGUGGAUGUGUAAAUUGUUGUACUGCAGCAGACUAUACAUAUUGCUUUUCUCUUGCUCUAUUAUGGUAUGUUAUUAUUGGUGUUGCAGCUUCUUCCUCAACAAGCAUUGAAUCAUGUUUUUUUGCAGUUGCUAUAACUUAGCAACUCUCACCAGUGUGCUGGAAAAUGGGUUGUUGUGUCUCUUCUUUAAUUUGAGUUUCCCCUUGGGUUGAAUUAGGUUCCACUCUUCUUUUUGGUACUUUAACAAGUAUAUGAACAUCCUUUCCAAACCUUAAGUUAAUCCCCUUACAAUGCUCUUUUCCUUCUCUCUUUCGAUCCUCUGUAUUGUUUAGUAAAUUGUCCUGAGGUAUGUUGCUCAAUUUUGUAGCAAGCUGUCCAAUCUUAUUCUCCAAGUUUCUUAAAAAUACAGCUUGGCUUUAGACCACUACUUCAAUCUUUACAAUAUACUCCUUAAUCAGAGUUUCAAUGGAACUAAAUUGAUCAUUACUGGUGUUUCUUUACCCUUCAAAUUUCUGGUGAAAAUCAGGUGGCUGAGCAAGUCUGUUCUGUCCACUGGAUGCUGCAGCAUGCUGAUUCUGAUUGCUCCUUUUAAAAUUUGGGUGAUGUCUCCAUCCUAGGUUAUAGGUGUUUGAAAAUGGAUUGCUUUGAUUUUGUUUAUUAAAAUUGCCCACAUAAUUGACGGAAGCUGAAUUCCUAGGACAAUUAUGAUAUAGAUGUCCCUCUCCAUAAUAAACACAAGAGACUUCAGCAAUUUGGUUAACUGUUGCCGGAGCAGUGGCCGUUGCUUUUACCAUAUUUGUCAAUGAGGUUACUUAGGCUGAUAAUGUUGUCAGUGCAUCCACAUUGUGUACUCCUGCUGCUCCUCUCACUGUGGCUUGUCUAGUUGAUGGCCAUUGAUAGUUAUCCUUUCUAAAAUUUCAUAAGCCUCAUUAUAUGAGUUAGACAAUAAAGCCCCUAGUUAUUGAGUUCAACCCAUUGUAGAAAGUUUCCAAUUGUAUGCAAUAAGGAAUACCAUGAUGAGGGCAUCUCCUGAGUAACCCCUUGAAUCUUUCUCAUGCAUCAUACAAGCUUUCAUCUUCAAGUUGAUGGAAAGAUGUGAUCUCAUUCUUCAACUUUGCAUUCUUUGUUGGUGGGAAAUAUUUCAUCAAAAGUUUGUCAGCCAAAUAAUUCCAUGUGGUGAUGGAGUCUGGUUGCAAAGAACUCCACUGUACCAACUAAAAUUGAUUUCACAAAACACAAUAAGCACCAAUCCCCGGCAACGGCGCAAAAAACUUGUUGUCGAUUUUCUAAUGCUAUUAGUGUCAAUGUGAAAAUGUACACAACAAGUAAUAUAACGAUAAGUAUUCACUCCACAAGGAUUAUUAUUAUAGGAAUUGCUACAGUAAUUCUAUCAGUGCCAUUCUUAUUAUAAAUUAGAAUUUAAACAAAUUAUUCAACUAAUGAACUAAGGCAGAUCUUAUUGGGCUAGUCGGCAAUGUGUUGCUUUAGGUCGUGUGGAAUAGUUGCGGGAGUGAUCUUGCAUGAUGUGUGGAGCUAUAACAGUGCUGAGCAUGGGCCAAUCUAUGGGCUCAUGGAACUAGCGAACCUAAUCUAGAAUUUCGAGGAAGAGUACUCUGGUUAGUACUCUAAAUUACCUUAUUAUAUUUUGCACAAACAGAGGCAUGUUAGUGAAAUAAUAUCUAAGCAACCCAAGAGGGGGGUGAAUUGGGUUUCUAAAAAUUAUGCAAUUCUUAAACAAAACUUAAUGCAAAUCUUAAACGAAUUUAAAGCAAUAAUACAUAAAUCAACCAAGGUAUAAAAAGAUAAGGGAAGAGAGAUUAAAACACAGAGAGUUUUACGUGGUUCGGCCAACCUUGCCUACAUCCACACCCCCAAGCACACCGAGCUUGGGCAUUCCACUAGUCAAGCCUUCAAGGCUUCAAGAACACUUACAAUUGACUUCUUAGGUGUCAAUCAACCUUUACAUCUAGAGAUUAUCCCCAAUCUCUUAACCCAAGUGUAUCCCAAUAUUUACAAUCACUCAAAAUAAAGAUUACAAAUUUAUUUUUCUCUCACACAAUUUUUUAAGAUUACAAAUCAACGCUUAAUGUGUGAAUAAAUGAACAAGAAUGAAUUUGAAGCUCAAUGAAUGUUGUAUUCUCGAUUAUAAGCUCAAUGAUAACGUUGUGAUAAGCUCUUGUUUGAAUUUGAUUGAUCUUAUUUAUAGUUGGAGUUGAAAAAUAGCCAUUGUUGACUUUUUCCCGAAAUUGGAUCGCCGUUAACCGUUAUCGGUUAACCGUUUUGACUGGUCCAAGUGACCGUUGAGCUGAAUUUCAAAUAAACGGUUGAUCUUUUGACACUAUCGGUUUGCUGUUAAUUUCCAUAAACCUGUAAAACAAAUUUAUGCUAUUCGUUCUUGCUAAACGGUUGAAGGUCAGCAUGGAAUGACAUUCUAGAAAUUAUUGGUUGGCCGUUUGAAGUUCACGGUUCACCGUUUACUUCUAGAAUCACAGUUUUAACCAAAUUUCGCAGGGAAUGCUUUUUCGGUUAAAGUUAACGAUUAUCCAUAUUUCAUGAACACAUUUAGAAAAAUCAUACGACUUUUGAGAAAUUGUUUAGUAAUGAAAACUCUAACAUUUUAAUCAAAUACAUUUAAAGUUUGUUAUCAUCAAAAUCAAUAUAAUGAACAUCUACAUGUUAACAGUUAGGCCUUGAUUAUUUUUUAAAUCUUAUAAGAUAUAGAGUGAUAAUAGUAACUCAAUUUUCAUAAAACGUGGAAAGAUCAGUCGCCAAAUUUAUAGAUGCCAUAGAAAAUCUAGAUUUUAGUAAGGAAUAUCAAGUUAUUUAUACAAUGAAAAUUGUUAAAACUCGAUUAAUUGCAAGGAAACACUUUUAGAGAGAUAUGGAGAGAAUAAACUUUGAAGAUAACAAUGAAAUACAUGACACAUUUAAGGAAGAAAAUAUAAUAGUAUUAAUAGAAUCUAUUUUAACCAGUCUUAAGAUAAUUCAAGAUUGAUGCAAAAUAAAUAACAGGACUCUAAACCGUCCAUAAUAAGUCUAUUGAUUAAUAAUAAUAAUAAUAGUGAUGUGAAAUUUUUUAUUCAGAAUGCUCAAUUUAGAUUAUAAUAUCUAUGUGAAAGCAUUGAUGGCAUGUACCUUGGUUAGGAAAAUAGAUUGGACACAUGGAUAUAUAUGUUGGAAGAACAAAUCUAGUUUAUAUCUCAAGAGAGAUAAUAAAUUAUAAAUGCCGGUGCUAUAGUAUAUUCAGAUUUUAUAAAUCUUUAUAAAUUUAAUAAUCAUUUAGAUCUUCAUAAAAUUAUAAUAAAACUUUAAAAAACUUUAAAAAUAUAUGUAGAAGAGAUGGAAGAAGAAAUCAUCCAGUUAUUCAAAAUCAAUUAAACAGAAAUAGAAGGUAAAAUCCUUGAAUUAUAUAAAUUAUACAAUUUCACAGAAAUUUUGCAUAUAUUGCAAAACGGUCCUUGUGGCACUAAUUAUGGGACUAGUGUAGCAUAAAUACUAAUAUUGCUUUUUAUUUUGUAAAUUAAUUGUUGCGUCAUAAUGUUUUUACAUACACAUUUUAUGUUUUAAAAUAUGAAUUUUUUUUUUUUGUAUUUAGGGAUAAUUUUACAAUUUCAUACUUUGUUCAAUUAUAUAUACAGGUCCUUAACGUGUUGGUUGAUGUUGAAUAUUCAAAGAUCCACAAGCUAUCAACGACAACGAAUCAAAUUAAACUAAUUAGUUAAUACAUAAUGACUGGGUUGUUUCCUAUGUUGUUAAUGAUGUAGGACGUUAUUUUAGGAUUUUAGAAUUGUAAUUUUUAGGUCUUCUGAUAUUUUCUUUUUUAAUUAAAGUUAGUGUCUUAGUUUUUUAUUUAUUUAUGUUAUAAUUAUAAUUUACUUUCUCUUUUUAAGUUAACUUAGGAAAAUAUAUUUACUGUAUUAUAAAUAAAGAGAUCUUGUUAUUACUUUAUAACUUCAACUUCAGUUAUUCAAUUAAAAACCCCUCUUUUAUAAUUUCAUUUUGUAUUAUUUAUUAAAAACCCCUCUUUUAAAGUUGUUUGAUUAGAGCAUCAUCCAGCCUUGCUUAACGCAGUAUUAAAAAUCCAUUUGAGUUUAAUCACACUUCGAUUAGAGCGUAACUUAAUUGCAUUGACUUGGUCCAGUACUUGAACGAUAUCUAGUGUUUUGCUUCCGCUAUGCCAAGGAGAAAAUUAAUUUCACCGUGAGAUAAGAGCAUUAAAAGGAAUUCAUAAGAAAUUUAAAUUAAAGCUAUAUAUGUUAAAUAUAUCGCUAGCUACUUGUUUUUGGAGGAAUUAAAACAAUUAAUAAGCUGCGAAGUGAAAAUGAAUAAAUAAAUGAAAUGAGGUUGAAAAUAAGUCUCGCCGCCUGGAUCCAAGGCCAAAACAUUCAUGAUAAGUUAGGUAAUUAAGUACAUGUUUUCAAGCUCUUCAUGAAGAAUAACGUUAUUGAAAUAAAUCACAAAGACUCCCUGCGCAAAUUAUUACAUUGAUUAAAAAAAAAAAGCCAUAUCUUUAACAGGAUCGUGACUCUCGGACUGUUAAUUACUUUAUUCCCUGCUUGGCCAACAGCUGGCCACUAAACAAAAUCAUAAAAAUUUUAAAUUUAGUCAAAUUGGUCCCACUUGAUGACAUCCUUUCCAUACAUAAAAUUGUUUAACGUCAAGGUUAAAUAUGAGAAGUUUGGUAGAGAAGGUAAAAAGGAAGUCUAUAUAAGGAGGGGAACGAGCUUUGUUUAUAGCACAAGUGAAACUCCACUUUAUUGAACGAUGGGGUCUCAAAUGGGCUGCCUCUUUGCCACUCUUUUGGUAGUAUCAGUCUCUCUUAGCUACUUGCCGUUAGAAGCCUCCGCAAACAAAUACUACUACACAUCUCCUCCCCCUCCCAAAUACAAGUCUCCACCACCACCCCCGCCACCGGUUCACAAUUCUCCACCACCACCCCCGGUUUACCUGCCCCCGCCACCUCCUCCACCAGUCUACGUGCCUGCUCCGGCACCAACUCCAAUUUUCCCUUCUCCGCCACCUCCUGUCCCCAAGUCCCCACCACCACCUCACCCUUACAUCUAUGCAUCUCCCCCUCCUCCUUACUACUACUAGAAAGUGGCCAUGAAUAGCUCAUGCUUUUAUGGUAAUCUCAUUUAUUUUUAAAACUGUACAUGUAAAGACUAGUAGUUCAGAAUUACAUUAAGCAUUUCAAUUUUAAGCACCGUGUUCUGUUUAAUUGCGUUCCUAUUGAUUAAGUGACAAAUAAAAGAGAUUGAUUAAUUUGUUCUUGUAGGAGAGGCGAAUGGUUUCCGAAUAAAGAAAGCAAGGGUUUGAUGGAAGGCUUACUUGGAGCAAGAGAGCGAUCAAUCGAGUUGCUGCGUUUUAUUCUCUUUUAUCUUUGUUUUUUAAGAAAAAUAAACUGCCACACGUAGAAACAGAAAAUUAAGUUCUUGUCAUUUUCAUGCAUAUGGAUUGUUGCUGUGUGUGUCAAUCAAAUCUCCGUUGUGUCAUUUGUAAUUUUCAACCUUUAUGCAUGCAAAUGCGAGACCUCUUACGUAUAAUAAAAUUAAUAUACUUCCAAAGAUGGUCUUAUCUUGCGUUGACUUUUUACGUUCCUUUGGUGAUGAUUUUGACGUUUGAAAUUGAUGACUAUUGUUUUUGUAAACUCUGACAUGGAUUUUUCGUGCAACUACAGAGCGCAUUAACGAGAGACUUAUCCAUGAGGGUCCAUGCAGAUCAGUGUCUAAUUAACCAAUAAUUAAUAUAACUUAAAAAAUAUAGAGUUAAUAAUUUUUAUGGGUCAUGCUCAAUUGCAGAUGUUCGUACAAAAUUUCUUGCUAAUGUAUACUUGAGUAUGAUAAUAAGUUUUAAUCAUUAUUAAUAAUUCACUUGAUAAUAUUAAACAAAUUUUCAUAUCAAUUAAGUUACAAAAUUUCUGUGACAAAUUUCCACGUACUGGAACCAUGCAAAAGGGCUUUAUUCAAGCAAAGCUGCAUAGCCGUUGGCAAUUAAAAUUAUUUAUCAAUUAAGUUAAGUAGUAAGAAUUGGAUUGUGGAUUCCAUUAAUUAUUUCAAGGAAAAUUUUAUAGAUAAUGCCGUAAUGAAAUUUACGGCAUCAAUAUCACGAUAAAUAUAAAUAUUGUAAAUUACAAAUAGAAUUAGUAAAUGUAAAGUAAAACCAGUAAAUUCAUAAAAGAUUAUUAAUUAUUUAAAAAAUUAACAUUGUGUUAUGUUUGCAAGUUUUUGUUUUGUUUACUAGUUUUAUGUUAUGUUUGCAAGUUUUUGUUUUGUUUACUAGUAAUAGAUUAAUGGGUAAUUUUUAAUUGAGUCCUCAUUAGUUCUAGAAAAACAAUUCAGAGACCAGAAGUUUACUAAAUGAAUCAAUUAAAUUCUUUCAAGUACAAACUAAUGUCAUUCAAGUCCUUAACUUAAUUGGUCAGUUAAAAAUAUUAACAACGUCGAGGACAUUUUAGUAAAACAACAAUUGAGUCGUUUCUCAUUCUUUAUUUUUGACAGGUGGAAAUAGUUUAAAGUAAACUCACUUAACCUGAUUAAGUUAAGGAUCAGUUCUUUCAAAUGAAAAAAAAAAAAAAAAAAAACCUACAGAAACUGCCAUAUUCUUCGUGUGGGAGGAGAGAUCGAGAGAACGUGGGAUGGUGCAAAAAAUGUUGUAUAAAUCUACUGUGAUUUUGACCAAAGCUUUGGUAGCAUUGAUUGAGUUCAAGUACUGGAGAGAACCUGAGUUUAAAGGUUAGUAACUCUAUUUUUUUAGUGAUUUCUGCAAGCAUUUUCUGAUAAAAAAUUUUCCGUAUUGAGUGAUCGUUGUGAAAAAUUAAGUUUUUCAAGUCUAUUUUACAAAAUGACAAACUAUGUUUAAUUAUUGGUGGAUUCUUUUUUUUGUUCAAUGUUGUAUUUUGUUAAUUUGUUGUUUUUAAUUUGCUCUUAAUGUAAUUGUUAGACCAAAUACACCAUUAUUAUACCUGUAUUCAUUUCAACAAUUUGGUAUCGUUAUAUUAAUAAGAUUGAAUUCAUUGUAUUUGCUUCUUUGUUCAUGUAAAAUUGAAUUCUAUGUAUUCUUAUGAGUGAUAAUUUUUCUAUCUAUUAGACUAAAUUCACUAUAUUCACGACUUUCUUUCUUUUUGCUGGGCUAUUUUUUCUUUUUAGUUUAUAUUUUUUAUAUGUAUUAGAUUGAAUUUGCUUUUGUACGUUUUUUUAGCCGAAUUACAUGUAUAUUUUAUUUAGGUUGAGUUUUUUUGUUGUUUGCUAAAUAAAAUUCUAUUGGUUUAUCAUUUUUUGAUGCAAUACUUUUUGUUUAAAAUUAAUGCAGGUAGCCAUGUUACCUUUUUUUCGGUUAAAAUUAAUUGGGUGAUGUAUGCGAUAUAGGGAACCAGAGGAAUAUAAGAUUAUUAGGUUGUUUCUUGAAAUUCAAGAUGUCAUGGUUGAGCAUGGACACAGUGAAAUGGAUUUGAUUGAAAUUUCUGUUGUAUUGCCAUGGACUACAAGUAGGCAGAGGAAGCUAAUUUCAAACGAUAGUGAAUUGUAUUGGGUUUUCGAGGAGUUUUUUUUUUUUUUUUAUCAAUAGUUGUCCUGUCAUUGAGUUUGAGGUGCACAUUGGGUCAGGUGGUCAGUCAUUUCAUGAAAGUGUUGUAAUAGGACCUGAAAAUCCUGUCAAUAUAGGUGUUAGUGUUAUAAUAGUGAUAAGUUUGAAAAUCCUGUGGCUAAAAAGGGUAUGCCUAGAAUAAUUGGUACUUCUUUAUUUGCCUCAAAGUUCAACACUAUGAAAUCCACCAAGAAAAAGAAUUUAUCCACUUUAACCAGCAAUCUUCAAUCUUGCCUUCAGGAUAAGCAUGAGAUCUGUCAGCACAUUGCAAUGACACUGUGGUUGGUCUGACUUCUCCAACUUCCAAUUGCUUGAAUUCUGAUAAUGUCAUAAGAUUGAUGGCUUGCUCUCAAAUCACAAAGUGUCUUGCCACUGUAUUUAGUUCCUAUGGAACAAGGAAUUGUGAAACUUCCUGGAUCCUUCAACUUCUGAGGCAUUUUACUCUGAAGCAUAUGGCUGCAUUCUUGUGUUAGAGCAACUAUUUCGAAUUCUCCAAGCCUCCACUACUAGAAAAACAGGCUACUAUGACAGAAUUUUUGUGAUAGAUAUCAGAAAAUUAGUCAUUUAUCACAAAAAUAUAACAUACAUGUGAUAGAAUUUUCAUAUAUCAACAAGGCAUGAUAGAUUUGUGAUAGUUUCUUUAUCUGUCACUUGUACAUGAUAGCAUAUUAAUAUAGUAAUGAAACGGUGAGUUUAAGAUUGGCCAAUUUGGGCAUUGAACGACACCGUGUCUUGAAGCCUUUAAAAAAAAUUCUAAGUGUUGGACACUCCUUUGAACUUCACAUAGAAAACCCUAAUUUCUACAUCCAAACUGAAUCACACAAAAAUACACCAUCACACUUGCCGCCAAUAAAUUGUUGUUGUUCGUCUUUGUCGUCAUCUUCAUCCCCACUCCACAGCUUGCUGGCUAUUCCCAUUUCCCUUUUAUAGCUUGAACAACUGAUCUUCUUCAAGUUCGAGCCACUGUUACUGACUUCUUUCGGGAGAGGUAAGUGAUUAAUUCUUUUUUUUUUUUGAAGAGACAACAAUCACCAUAAAUUUCUCAAAAUCCCUAAAAUUAUGCCAAAAAAAGGAAAAAAUAAAGCCGUUCCAUGGCCUUAAAGGACUGACUUCGAGUUCGUGGACUAACGUGCCAACGACUCCGCUUUAUGGCCUUCGUGGAACGAUUCCGUGACACGCGAGUGGCAGCGUGCUAUUUACGUGGAGUCGGAUCGGAGAAGAUUGUACUACGAGGAGUUGGCGAUGUGAGAAAGACAGCGAGUUAGCUACUACGUCUUCGACUUAGGGUAAAAUUUUGGCAGAAUUUGAACUGAAAUUUAGUGGGUUUUGAGUGGUAAGACGAGGUUUUGAGAGAGGAAAAGGAGUGUUUGGCUGGCGAGAAAGUGAGAGAAAGUUUUUGAGUGUGGAGUGAUGGCUUCUCUGUUUUUACUUCUUUAUUGUUCUUUAUUGAGUAGAUGGUGACGAUACAAACUUUUAACAUUGUUUACUUAAUUAAUUGGAUAACAAUCUUACAUGACUAUUUUGAUUUAUCAGAUAAAUCAGUUAGAGAAGAAUGGAGAUGUUGUUGCUCAGGCACGAGCAAUUACAGCAAUCUAGACACUCUGCCCCGUCUUUCUUUCAAUGUUGUUGGCACACUGAAUAAUUUCCUUAGUGACAAGUUAACCAAAUUUAGAGGUAUAUGUGAUUUUGAUUUGACUUACUCUUAAUGAAAUACAAUAAGGAUUUUUUCUGUUGUUUCUAGGCCUUUUGGAGAGUUCGGAUUGAAGCAACGUUUGCCUUAGCUAAUACAACAUCUAAGGUAUUGUUAUUAUUCUCACCUUUAUUUAUUAAAUAUAUUGAGCACAUGGUAGGUCCACCAAAAUGUAUGCAAAAUCUAUUCACCAGAGGUAUUCGCAUAAAGUGAAUUUUUGUGAGAGACUAUUCUUCAACUGUGAAAACUACUUUGGUAGUUCUCAAACCCAUUACAAUUGAUUGGUGCUUGUGUUUUUCUAUUAGAAAGAUAUCUUCUGUAAAAUCUUUGUGAACUACAUUUUUGGAAAUGCAAAUGCUUUGUGUGGUGGUGAUUGUGCUUAUUUGCUUGGUCUUCUAGCAUUUCAGUGAAAUGAUUUAUUUUGACUUGUGCUUAUGACUAACUUGUUGACAGAGAAACUAGGCCAUUUAUGGAUGCACUGAUAUGAAUCCUAUAAUUUUUCUCUUAAUUGACAUGUUGAACUUUUUGGAAGAUAUUUUUUUUUUAUUUGAUUUGUCACAUAUUGUGCUUUAUUAGUUGGAAAUGUUUUGGUUUGUGGACCAUGUUGCACUUACCAGUUCUCAAUAUUGAUAUAUGAUAUAUACACACUAUUGUACUGGAAAUUGAUUGAGUUGGUUUGCUCCAUCUGGUGAAAUUUUAUAAAAGUCGAAGGUUUGAUGAGAAUAUUGGACUCCCCAAGUGAGAAUCUAUCUAAGUUUGAAAUUGUUCUGAUAUCGUUGCUGCAGCACUUUGUUAACGUUUUUGUUUUCUGCUGAUCAUUCCAGGCCAAAUGAUAUCCGUGAUUUUUCAGAGUAUUUGUUCUUGAGGUAAUGCCUUGAGGUAAGGUAUGUAAUGAGUUGUGUGAAGUGGGAUGUGAUAAUAAUUUUGCCCUCGCUUCAUGUGAUGAAAUCCCACAUAAUUUGCCCUUGCUUUAUGUGAUGAAAUCUUUGGGUGGUUUGUUUAUUUAGUGUUUUUCUAUUUCUUUUUAUAUGCUAAUUUUCAUAGUUCUAGAGCAAGUCUUUCUCUAGUCAUUUUGAAAUACUUCCACAUGCUGCUUCUUAAGCCAAGAUUGUCUUGCCCUAAUGAACAAGUUAAAUGGAUUUGCGUUGCUUGGAGUCUCAGUGUAAUAUAUGUGUUUUAGAACUUAGAUUGAUAAACAAAUUUGAACAAAUACAGUGGAAUAAGAAUAAAGAGAAGAUUAAAAAAAAAAGAGUAGAAAUAAAGAAAAGGAUGGUGAAACUUUAGGAGAAUAGGGGAAUCAAGAGAAGAGGAUAGAAUUUUGAUGGAUUUUAUUUAAUUAUGUAACGGAGGUUUUGUGUUGUUAGAUGUUGUGCGUUAAUUAAUUUGUAAUCUUGGAAAAAUACUUUAUCAUGAAUUGGGUUAAUUGUAAGUGGUCAAUACACUAAUAUAUAUUCUUCUAGCACUCAUCUAAAUGUAAUAUGUGUUUCAGGUGAUGUUGGUGGCUCUUGGGAAUUUACUAUCAGUGUUCUUUUUACGAAUUAAUUGUUUUUCUAAUGAUGGGGUAGUGAUUGAAUAUUGUAGAGAAUUUAUGAGUUAUUCUUACGGAUUUGAUUCACCAUGUAUUUUGAUGAUACUAUUUGUUGGAAGUUUCAAGUAAUUGAAAUUUUUAGUAUAUGGUGAUAUUUGGUAUUUGAUAGUUUUUAUGAAUUUGAAUGUAAUUUUUAUUUCAGUUAAUUCAAAUUUUAAAAUGUGGGUUUUGUUAUUUCUAUUUCAAAAUUCUGGAAUUUAAAUAAUAUUAAUUAGUAUUAUUAUAAUUUCAAAAUUAAAAAUAAUAAUUUUAUUUUUUUAAACCUUAAAUCUCAUGACAGAGAAUGUGAAUCAUUAAUAUAUGAAAGAUUUUGAAAAAGCCCACCAAAUUCAAUAUAAUUUAAAUUACCUGCUAAAAUUUCCAAUUAAUUCUCAAAAGCCUUGCAAAACGACGUCGCUUGGUUCGUGACAUAUGCGUGAUAGAUAUACACUGUCACAGAAACAUGUGAUAGAUAAAAUGUUGUCAUAGAUUUAUGAAAGGGGCUACAAUGACAGAUGGAAACUCUGUCAUAAGAGGGGUCGGAUGACAGAUAUUCUCUGUCAUGAUAGCCCAUUUUUCUAGUAGUGCUCAUUUUCCUUGCCAAUAUACAUUUCCAAAACUUUACAUAAUUUGGCAUUUGUUCCAAUGCUUCCACAAAAGGAAUGUUGAUAUGCAGUUGUUUCAAUACUUCCACCACCUGUCCCCAAGUUCCCACCACCACCUCACCCUUGCGUCUAUGCAUCUCCCCCUCCUCCUUACUACUACUAGAAAGCGGCCAUGAAUAGCUCAUGCUUUUAUGGUAAUCUCAUUUAUUUUUAAAACUGUACAUGUAAAGACUAGUAGUUCAGAAUUACAUUAAGCAUCAAAUUUAAGCACCGUGUUCUAUUUAAUUGCGUUCCUAUUGAUUAAGUGACAAAUAAAAGAGAUUGAUUAAUUUGUUCUUGUAGGAGAGGCGAAUGGUAUCCGAAUAAAGAAAGCAAGGGUUUGAUGGAAGGCUUACUUGGAGCAAGAUAGCGAUCAAUCGAGUUGCUGCGUUUUAUUCUCUUUUAUCUUUGUUUUUUAAGAAAAAUAAACUGCCACACGUAGAAACAGAAAAGUUCUUGUCAUUUUCAUGCAUAUGGAUUGUUGCUGUGUGUUUCAAUCAAUUCUCUGGCGUGUCAUUUGUAAUUUUCAACCUUCAUGCAUGCAAAUGCGAGACCUCUUUCGUAUAAUAAAAUUAGGGGAUUGUCACUUUCCCCCUACAGUAAUUAACAUAUAUUAUUUAUUCUCUUACUAUUUUUAUAAUGGCCAAAAACCCACUGACAACAUAAGUUUACAAUAUUACCUUUAUUUUUAACUACUCUUUUAUUUACAUUUAUUAUAAAUUAAAUAAAUUACAUGAAUAGAAACUAAAUAAAAAAAUUAAGUAUUAAAAAUAAGAAAUAUAUGUUGAUAUGAGGAAAAAAAUUAAUAAUAAAAUUUUUUUCUUGUAAUUAUUUAUUUUGUGAACAUUUUCUUAUAACAUUUUGUAAUAUUUUAAAAUUAAAUGUAAAAAGUAUAGGCAAAAUAUUUUAUUAUUUAUCUUAUAAUAAAUUGUUAUUUGUCAUUCAAAUUUUCUUAUAAUAAUUUUUUUUAUCAUUUUAUAAUAACUUUCUUAUAUAUUUAUUAUAAGAAAAUUUUCACAAAAUAAAUAAGUACAAGAAAAAAAAUUUAUUAUUAAUUUUUUUCUCAUAUCAAAACAUAUAAUAAUUUUUUUCUCAUAUCAAAACAUAUAUUUCUUGUUUUUAAUUCCUAAUUUUUUAUUUGAUUUCUAUUCAUGUGAUUUAUUUAAUUUGUAAUAAAUAUAAAUAAAAGAGUAAUUGAAAAUAAAGGUAAUGUUGUACACUUAUGCUAUCAGGGGAAGUUUUGGCCAUUAUAAAAAUAGUAUGGGAAAAAUAGUAUAUGUUGAUUACUAUAGGAGGGAAAUUAGCAAUCUCCCAAUAAAAUUAAUAUACUUCCCAAGACCGUCUUAUCUUGCGUUGACUUUUUACGUUCCUUUGGUGAUGAUUUUGACGUUUGAAAUUGAUGACUAUUGUUUUUGUAAACUCUGCAUGGAUUUUUCGUGCAACUACAGAGCGCAUUAACGAGAGACUUAUUCAUGAGGGUCCAUGCAGAUCAGUGUCUAAUUAACGAAUAAUUAAUAUAACUUAAAAAAUAUAUAGUUAACAAUUUUUAUGGGUCAUGCUCAAUUGCAGAUGUUCGUACAAAAUUUCUUGCUAAUGUAUACUUGAGUAUGAUAAUAAGUUUUAAUCAUUAUUAAUAAUUCACUUGAUAAUAUUAAACAAAUUUUCAUAUCAAUUAAGUUACAAAAUUUCUAUGACAAAUUUCCACGUACUGGAACCAUGCAAAAGGGCUUUAUUCAAACAAAGCUGCAUAGCCGUUGGCAAUUAAAAUAAUUUAUCAAUUAAGUUAAGUAGUAAGAAUUUUAUUGUGGAUUCGAUUAAUUAUUUCAAGGAAAAUUCUAUCGAUAAUGCCGUAACGAAAAUUACACAUAAAAUUAGUAAAUGUAAAGUAAAACCAGUAAAUUCAUAAAAAAUUAUUAAUUAUUUAAAAAAUUAAUAUUGUUUUUACAUAAUUUUAGUGCAAAAUAUUUUAUUUAGUUACAAAAAAAAUUUCUUUAAUUAAACAAAAAAAUUAUACAGAAAAAAAGUGGAAUACGUUUUAUUGAAUUGGUUACCAUAAAUUCUGUAAUUAUUCUAGGACAUUUGUAUACAUUUUUUUCUCAUUUUCUAUAAUGACAUCUAUUUAUUACACAUGUUAAUUAAGCGCAAUUAUUUAUCUUGAUGUGGAUCAAGUAAAAAUAAAAGAAAAGAUAUAUCAAUCAAAUUAGAUAUAAUUUUGAAUACUAUGUAUACUUUAUGUAGUUUCAAACUUUUUACUUGUAUUUGGAGACCAUUUAAGAUUGUUGUUGAAGAAGUGUAGAAAGAUGUAAAAUAACGUCAUCUUACAACAAUUAUAAUGAUAUCUAUUUAUUACACAUGUUAAUUAAGCACAAUUAUUUAUCUUGAUGUGGAUCAAGUAAAAAUAAAAGAAAAGAUAUAUCAAUAAAAUUAGAUCUAAUUUUGAAUAGGGAGAUUGCCAAUUUUCCCCCUACAGUAAUCAACAUAUACCAUUUUCCCCCCUACUGUUUUUAUAAUGGCCAAAAACCCCCCUGAUAGCAUAAGUGUAUAUUAUUACUCUUAUUUUCAACUACUCUUUUAUUUAUAUUUGUUAUAAAUUAAAUAAAUCACAUGAAUAGAAACCAAAUAAAAAAUUAAGCAUUAAAAACAAGAAAUAUAUGUUUUGAUAUGAGAAAAAAAUUAAUAAUAAUUUUUUUCUUGUACUUAUUUAUUUUGUGAAAAUUUUCUUAUAAUAAAUAUAUAAGAAAGUUAUUAUAAAACGAUAAAACCAAUUAUUAUAAGAAAAUUUGAAUGACAAAUAAAAAUUUAUUAUAAUAUAAAUAAUAAAAUAUUUUGUCUAUACUUUUUACAUUUAAUUUUAAAAUAUUACAAAAUGUUUAUUAUAAGAAAAUGUUCACAAAAUAAAUAAUUACAAGAAAAAAAUUUUAUUAUUAAUUUUUUUUGCUCAUAUCAAAUCAUAUAGUUCUUAUUUUUAAUACUUAAUUUUUUUAUUUAUUUUCUAUUCAUGUAAUUUAUUUAAUUUAUAAUAAAUAUAAAUAAAAGAGUAGUUAAAAAUAAGGGUAAUAUUGUAAACUUACACUGUCAGGGGGUUUUUGGCCAUUAGAAAACAACAAGGGGGUAAAUGGUAUAUGUUAAUUACUGUAGAGGGGAAAGUGACAAUCCCCCUUUUGAAUAUUAUGUAUACCUUAUGUAGUUUCAAACUUUUUACUUGUAUUUGGAGACCAUUUAAAGUUGUUGUUGAAGAAGUGUAGAAAGAUGAAAAAUAACUUCAUCUUACAACAACUGUGAAAGAUAUUAAAAUAAUAUUUUUUCAAAAUCCAAUUUUUAGCAUAAAUUUCAUCCUUAAUUAAACAUCACAUGUAUUAUAUAAAUGAAAAACUAACAUUAUUCAAUUUAAAUUAAAAAAUAAUAAAUAUAUGAGGUAAUAAAUAUUAUAACGAGUUUUUAUUUUAAAAUUGUAAACUUUUGUUUCUGACAGUAACUCUUAUAUUAAUUUACUUAUUUUGCCUUUUAUUCAUAAGUUUUAUGCAUAAUCUACAAACUUUAUGUUUUAUUUUGCAUUUAAUGUUGAUUUACCUUUUUUAUAUUAUAUUUAUAAGUUUUCAUUUGAUUUACCAGUAAUACAUCAAUUUAUCAAUUUUAUAGUAAUUUACUUAUUUUACCUUCUUUUUACAAUUCUUAUGUUUCAUUUUCAAAAUUUAUGUUUUAUUUUACAGUUAUUGAUGAUUUACUAGUUUUAUAUUAUGUUUGCAAGUUUUUGUUUUAUUUACUAGUAAUAAAUUAAUGGGUAAUUUUUAAUUUAGUCCUCAUGUUUUCGAGAAAAAAAUUCAGAGACUAGAAAUUUACUAAAUGAAUCAAUUAAAUUAUUUCAAGCACAAACUAAUGUCAAUCAAGUCCUUAACUUAAUUGCUUAGUUAAAAAUAUUAACAACAUUGAGGAUAUUUUAGUAAAACAACAAUUGAGCCCUUCCUCAUUCUUUAUUUUUGACAUGUGGCAAUAGUUUAAAGUAAAUUCAAUUAACCUAAUUAAGUUAAGGAUCAGUUCUUGCAAACGAAAAAAAAAAAAAAACCUACAAAAACUGCCAUAAUCUUCGUGUGAGAGGAGAGAUCGAGAGAAUGUGGGAUGGUGCCAAAAAUGUUGUAUAAAUCUACUAUGAUUUUGACCAAAGCUUUGUUAGCAUUUGUUGAGUUCAAGUACUGGAGAGAACCUAAUUAUAAAGGUCAGUAACUCUAUUUUUUUAGUGAUUUUUGCAAGCGUUUUUUGAUAAAAUUGUUUCCAUAUUUAGUGAUCGUUGUGAAAAAUUAGGUUUUUCAAGUCUAUUUUUCUAAAUGACAAACUAUGUUUAAUUACUGGUGGUUUUUUUUUUAUUGAAUGUGGUAUUUUGUUAAUACAUUGUUUUUAAUUUGCUCUUCAUGUAAUUAUUAGACCAAAUACGCCAUAAUUAUAUUUGUAUUCAUUUCAACCAAUUGGUAUUGUUAUAUUAAUAAGAUUGAAUUCAUUGUAUUUGCUUCUUUGUUCAUGCAAAAAUUGAAUUCUAUGUGUUCUUAUGAGUGGUAAUUUUUCUAUAUAUUAGAAUAAAUUCACAAUAGUUGCUAAUUUCUUUCUUUUUGCUGGGUUAUUUUUUCUUUUUAGUUUUUAUUUUUUAUAUGUAUUAGAUUGAAUUUGCUUUUGUACUUUUUUUAGCCGAAUUACAUGUAUAUUUCAUUUAGGUUAAGUUUUUUUGUUCUUUGCUAAAUAAAAUUGUAUUGGUUUAUCCUUUUUUGUUGCAAUACUUUUUGUUUUAAAUUGAUGCAAGUAGCCAUGUUACCUUUUGUUUUUCAGUUAAAAUUAAUGGGGUGGUGUAUGAGAUAGGAUAUAGAGAACCAGAGGAAUAUAAGAUUAUUAGGUUGUUUCAUGAAAUUCAAGAAUUCAUGGUUAAGCAUGGACAUAAUGAAAUGGAUAUGAUUGAAAUUUCUAUUGUAUUGCCAUGGACUACAAGUAGGCAGAAAAAGCUAAUUUCAAACGAUAGUGAAUUGUAUUGGGUUUUUUAGGAGUUUUUUUUUUUAUCAAUAGUUGUCAUGUCAUUGAGUUUGAGGUGCACACUGGGUCAGGUGGUCAGUCAUGUCAUGAAAAUGUUGUAAUAGGAUCUGAAAAUCUUAUCAAUAUAGCGGUUGGGUGGGUAGUGAUAAGUUUGAAAAAUUUAGUGAGGAUGGCUUUAUCGGAGGGCUCUCAUCUAAUGAAGAGAAUGGUCUCUCACAUAUGUAUAAAUCCAUUGUUGAUAAUGAGUAGAAACCAAAUCCAAAUAGUUUAAUUAGUCUAAAAGUAGGAAAUACAUUUGAAUCUGUUGCAUUAUUAAGAGAGGUUAUAAUGAAGUAUGCAAUCGAAGAGGGUUUUUAGUUGAAUAGGAUUAAAAAUGAUGGUGUUAGGUAUUAUGUCAAUCUAAAAUGCACUUGGAAACUUAAUGCUUCAUCGAUGGUUGACGGGAUAACUUUUAAAAUUAGGUAUAUUAAAGGGAAACAUGAUUGUCAGAUUAAAUAAGUUAACAAAGAUGCAACAGCACAUUGGAUGAUGUACAUGUCAUAAUGAGAGAGCUAAAAGAUAAACAUAGGAUUGAAUGUGAUAAACAAGAACUAUGCAGGGCAAAAGAAAUUGCACUAAAAAACCUAGGUCUUGACCAUGUUGCUUGCUAUGGAAAGCUUUUGAAAUAUGCUCACAUUCUAAUGAAAAUGAGUAGAGGUGCUUGUGUCAAGCUAAAGUUGAUAGGCCAUUGUCAAAUAGCCUAGUUUUUCAAAGGUUUUUUUAUCAUUUCCCGCACUUAAAGUGGGGUACCUAACUGGGUGUAGACCUUUCAUAAGAUUGGAUGGGUGUCACUUGAAUGGGCCAUAUAGGGGAGUAUUGUUAUCUGUUGUUGCAUUAGAUGCUGACAGUAGAAUUUUGCCACUGGCUUUUUGCAUAUGUGAGGCAGAAAACUAUGAUAGUUGGGGUUAUUUUUUUUAUCUUUUUUGUAUGAAUUCAUUGGGGCCGAUGAUCAUAGACCUGUGACUAUUAUUAGUUAUAGACAAAAAGGUCUUUUAUGGCGACUAAAAAAAUAUUAGCCUAAUGCUAGCACUAGAUAUUGUGCUAGGCAUAUCUUUGCCAAUUGGAAGUGCAGGUUUCCUGGUUUGAAUGUGAUGGGGUUAUUCUGGAAAGCUUGUAGGGCUGCAAAUCAAUAUGACUUUGAGAGGGCAAUGAGUUAAAUUAGGGCUAAAGACCAAAAUUGUUGUUGCUUAAAGAUUGUGGGAAUAUGAGAUAUUUCCUUGGAAACCAGCAUUGGCUCUAAGUUAUUGCUUAAAGAUGUCAAACAUGUACCAUAUAUUCUUCUUAAUUUGAUCUCUACAGGCAAGCUUGAUGAUGAUGGUUAUACCAACUAAUUUGGUGAAGGAGUAUGUAAGCUCACCAAAGGCUCCUUAGUGUUAGUUAAAGAGAGGAAAGUAAACACCCUCUAUGUGUGAUAACUCUAUGAAACGAGAGUUAUUAUAGAAAUUCUAAACUUAAAUCAAUAUUACUUACAGAGUAAAUGAUGUGUUUCUAUUGUAUUUUUGUUACAUUGUGUAUAAACAUUCAUUUUAGUUUAGUCUUAAUAAAUUUUGCUUAAUUUAGAAUAAUUCGUGCUUAAAUUGUGUGCAUAAUUAUAGGUGUCUAGAAGCUCAUAUCUCAUGGAAGGAGUGUUGAUGCAAUAGGCUUGUAAAAAUGAGGAAGAACAUGGCUACAAAAGAAUUGAAACAAAUCUGGAAUAAUGUAGUGUUGUAGCCGUUCUUGUAGCAACCAUUGCUGUAGCAAUCCUGGAACAACGAUAGAGAAAAUUUAGCACGAGAUACUUGUAGAAUCAAGAUCUGCAAUUUCUUAAUUUGACUUAUGCGCGCCCUGGGCUUCUGUUUACCCUAGUUUUCAGUUAUAAAAAGAGCACGCAUCAUAUGGUAAAAGGGGCGGUGAAUUAACAGCAAAGAAAUCAAGAGGAAAAGAAUGAAAAAUCAGAAUUCAAGGGAGAACAAGUCUGCACCAGUGAAGAUAUUGGCAUAACUAUUUGGAUUCAAUUUUCAUCGUUCUUUACUUAUCCCUUUUCUUACUCUUUGAUUGAACCGAUGGAUUUCAUCGCUGAUACUUUGUUGUUUGUUUUUCUUUUCCAAAGUAUGAACUAAAUUUGAUUGUAAUUGAGUGACAAACAAUCUCAAUGGGUUCUUGACUGUUCUUAUGAGUUAUUAAAAGAUUGCUGUAGCAUUUUGCUGUAAUAGCUUAUAUUAGAAUUAUUAUUUCGGUUGACCUCCCAUUUAAUGGUUCAAGUUAAGAGAGAGCCACAAAAUGGCAUGUCUUAGUGGAAAUUAUUAGAGUAAUACUUGAUCUUAAUUUAAGUUUUCUGGAUUGAGUUUAACUUGAGCCCCAAAAGAGCCACACUUGAGUUAAGAUUUGUGAAGAACUAGAUAUAGGGAUUCACCUUAUAGGGUAGAGGGGGUGUAUGUUCAUAAUGCCAUACCUUAGGUGAAAUGACAACUGGUCAUUGUUAGAGUGCUUAAGGGUAUGAGAAGUCCAACAAGCGACAGCUGAGGAUGCAAAAUAAUUUUGCACUGUGCUGUUGGAAUUGCUGUAAUAACUGGUGUUUAUUUGAACAGAACAGUCAGCCCAUGAAUAGAGUUUGAUCAUUCAGCUACCUCAUUCUCAUUAAAUUCUUCUUUACGCAAUUCAUCUAAUUUACUUUAUUACUGCAUUUAUUUUAUUAAAAUUGUUAAUUUCGGUAGUAAUAAACUUUAAUUAGAUUUCUCUUUAGAUAAAAGAAAUUUGCACUGUCGUGAUUGCUAUAGCAUUUCUAGUAAUAUCAGUUCAUGUGGAGACGAUCUUGAAUAUUCAUCAUUUUAUUACUUGUUGUGUACACUUGCACAUGAUAUCAAUAGCAAUUGAGUUAAAUUAAAUAACAAGUUUUUGGCGCCGUUGCCGGAGAUUGAUUGUUUAUUUUUGAAGUGUGAAGUCAAUCUUGACAAAUGCCAACUUGAUCUAAUUCAUUCUAUUUAUUGACAGAUCAUGACUUGCAUGGGCAAAGGCAGAUCUGUUGAAUUUCAAUUUGAUCCUGAGAUUGAAAGGACUGUAAGGAGAUUGCGAAGAGAGUGAAGAAAUUCAAAAACUGUUUCAAAAAUGGAUAACUUGCAAGAUGUGGGAAACUUGGAUCCUCACGGGCCACUACAACCUGUCAAUGUUCAAGAGGGGCAAAUGGGCACGUUAAUCAAAGACAACCAAGCAACAACAAUAUCAUUUACAUGGAAGACGAUAGAGAUAGGGUUAUCAGAGAUUAUGUUGUGUUAACUCCUUAAGUUGUACAUCUUGGAAUAGUCAGACCUGAAGUGGAAGCCGCCAACUUUGAACUUAAACCGGUAAUGUUUCAAAUGCUACAAAUAGUGGGUCAAUUUAAUGGACUGUCAUCUGAAGAUCCUCAUCUCCAUCUUAAGUUUUUUUUGGAAGUAAGUAAUGCUUUUAAAACUGCUGGAACAACGCAUAAUGCUUUGAGACUGAGGCUUUUUCCUUACUCCUUAAGAGAUCGAGCAAGAGCAUGGUUGAAUUCCUUACCAUCUGAUUCCAUCACUACAUGGAAUGACUUGGCUGACAAAUUCUUAAUGAAAUAUUUUCCACCAACCAAGAAUGAAAAAUUGCAAAAUGAGAUCACCUCUUUUCAUCAACUUGAAGAUGAGAGCUUGUUUGAGGCUUGGGAGAGAUUUAAAGAGUUUCUCAGAAGAUGUCCUCAUCAUGGCAUUCCCUGUUGCAUACAGCUAGAAACCUUUUACAAUGGGUUGAAUCCAAGUACAAGAUUGAUUGUCGAUGCUUCAGCAAAUGGAGCCCUAUUAUCCAAAUCUUACACUGAAGCUUAUGAAAUUUUGGAGAGAAUUCCUAACAAUAACUACCAGUGGCCAUCAACUGAAAAACUGUAGCAAGAGAAGCAGCAGGGGUACAUAACAUAGAUGCAAUUACAGCACUGUCAGCUCAAGUAACAUCAUUGACUAACAUGGUAAAAGCCAUGACUUCUACUUCUACAGUAGUAAAGCAAGUUGCUGAACUAUCUUGUGUGUAUUGUGGUGAGGAGCAUGUAUUUGACAAACUGUCUAGGAAAUCCAGCAUCAGUAAACUAUGUGGGAAACUUCAACCGACAGCCCUAGAACAACCCAUAUUCAAGUACUUACAACCCUGGAUGGAAUCAACACCCAAAUUUCUCAUGGAGCAAUCAAAAUCAGCAUGCUUCAGCACCUAGUGGACAGAACAAACAUGCUCAUCCACUUGGUUUUCAUCAGCAAAAUUAAGAGCAAAAACACACUAGCCAUGAUCAAAUCACCUCAUUGGAAACACUUUUUAAGGAAUGUAUCGUAAAGAAUGAAGCAAUUGUGCAAAAUCAAGCUGUAUCUCUGAGAAACCUGAAAAACCAAAUUGGACAGUUUGCCACAGCAAUGAGUAGUAGAUCUUAGGGAAGUUUACCCAGCAAAACAGAAGAUCCAAGAAGAGAGGUAAAAAACAUUGUAAAGUAAUCAACUUAAGAUAUGGGAAGAAUGUUGAUAUUGCUGUUGAUGUGACUAAAAAGAGGUUGGAACUUAACUCCUCACAAGAACCACCUCAAGAUGAAAUGAUGUUACAGCAACCCAGCCACUAAGAUACUGGCACUAGUGGUCAAGCUACAGCAACCUUGGAAGAAAAUCACCCAAUACCUAUUGAAGAAGAUGUUGCAACACCAGUGGUGACAAAUUACAAUAAAUCAAAUGAGCAGAUAUUGGUACCUCUUGAAGUUGUACAACAAUUUAGGCAUCCACCUCCUUUCCCACAGAGAUUCCAGAAACAAAAACAAGACUAAUAGUUUAGCAAAUUCCUGAAAGUGCUGAAACAGUUACACAUCAACAUACCUUUUGUGGAAGCAUUAGAGCAAAUGCCUAAUUAUGUGAAAUUUCUAAAAGAUAUUUUAACAAGAAAAAGAAGGUUGGGAGAAUUUGAAACUGUUGCUUUAACACAGGAAUGCAGUCACAUGUUUCAGAGUAAGAUUCCUAAAAAAUUAAAGGAUCCAGGAAGCUUCACAAUAUCAUGUUCAAUUGGAACUAAGUACAAUGGCAGAGCACUCUGUGACUUGGAGCCAGCAUUAAUCUAAUGUCAUUAUCUCUAUUUAAGCAAUUAGGAGUAGACUUUGAGUCUGAUAAAGAGGUACCAAUUAUAUUUGGAAGACCUUUCCUGGCAACCAGGAAGACUCUGAUAGAUGUUCAGAAAUGAGAGCUAACCAUGAGGGUGAAUGACCAACAAGUCACCUUCAAUGUAUUAGAAGCUAUGAAGAGUCCUGAUGAGGCAGAAGAUUAUAAUUUUUUUAGUGUUGUGGACCUUGUUGUGGCAGACAGAAUAAAUAGAUGCUGCAGUAAAAAGGUUAUCAAAGCUGCCACCUUUGAAAGCUUUGAAGAAGAAAAUGUUACAGCAAACCAGAUAGAUUGGAUGGUAGAAAGGCAAUCUAAAAGACAUAGCAGAUUUAUCGAACCUCUAAAUCUUUCAAACAGGGACAUAAAGACAACUUUACCAUCUAUUGAAUCAACUCCUACUCUUGAAUUAAAAUUGUUACCUUCACAUUUGAAAUAUUCAUAUCUUGGUGAGAACAAUACACUUCCGGUAAUCAUUUCAUAUUCUUUAGAUGCAGAUCAAGAAAGAAGUCUGGUAUAUGUGCUUAGGAAAUAAAGAAAAACAAUUGGAUGGACUAUGACAGACAUUAAACGGAUCAGCCCAUCCAUAUGCAUACAUAAAAUUCUGUUAGAAGACUGCUAUAGCAAUUCAGUAGAGCAACAGAGAAGGCUAAACCCCAUUAUGAAGGAAGUUGUAAAGAAAUAAAUCAUCAAAUGGCUGGAUGUUGGGAUCAUAUACCUGAUAUCAGACAGUUCAUGGGUGAGCCCAGUACAAUGUGUUCCAAAGAAAUAAGGAAUAACAGUAAUAGAAAAUGAAAAGAAUGAACUUAUUCCUACAAGAACAAUGACUGGAUGAAGGGUAUGUAUGGAUUAUAAGAAGCUCGACAAAGCCACACGGAAGGAUCACUUCUACUUUCAUUUAUAGAUCAAAUGUUAGACAGAUUUGCUGGAAAAUAAUAUUAUUGUUUCCUAAAUGGGUAUUUAGGUUACAACCAAAUUGUUAUACCCCCAGAAGAUCAGGAAAAGACUACAUUCACCUGUCCUUAUGGAACUUUUGCCUUUAAAAGAAUGCCCUUUGGUCUGUGUAAUGCUCCAGCAACUUUCCAGAGAUGUAUGAUGUCUAUUUUCUCAGAUAUGGUGGAGCAAACAUUGGAAGCCUUCAUGGAUGAUUUCUCAGUUUUUGGAGAAACAUACACUGAUUGUUUACAUAACUUGGAAGAAGCUCUUAAAAAAUGUGAGAUGACUAACUUAGUACUCAAUUGGGAAAAAUGCCACUUCAUGGUGCAAGAAGGCAUAAUGUUGGGUCAUAGAGUGUCCAAGAAUGGCAUAGAGGUAGAUAAAGCAAAAAUAGAAGUGAUAGAUAAACUGCCACCUCCCACUUCAGUCAAGGGUAUUAUAAGUUUUUUGGGACAUGUUGAAUUCUACAGAAGAUUCAUAAAAGACUUCUCCAAAGUAGCUAAACCAUUAUGCUCACUACUAGAACAUGACAAGCCUUUUCAUUUUGAUAAAGACUGUCUUUAAGCUUUUAAAGAAUUGAAGAAAAUUUUGAUCAUUGCACCAAUGGUUAUAACACUAGAUUUGACUCUAUCUUUUGAGCUGAUGUGUGAUGCCAGUGACCACUCUGUUGGGGCAGUGCUGGGGCAGAGAAAGAAUAAGAUUUUCCACUCUAUAUACUAUGCCAGUAAAACUCUUGUUCAAGCUCAGAUUAAUUACACCACUACAGAAAAAGAGCUGCUAGUAGUAGUAUUUGAUUUCAAUAAGUUUAAAGCUUACUUGGUGGGUACUAAAGUGACAAUCUACACAGAUCAUGCAGCCAUCAAGCACUUAAUCUCAAAGAGAGAUGCCAAACCAAGAUUAAUAAGAUGGGUAUUAUUGCUUCAAGAGUUUGAUUUGGAAAUUAAGGAUAGAAAGGGGACUGAAAAUCAAGUAGCAAACCAUCUAUCGAGGCUGAAAGCAAAUACGAGCACAUUGACUAAACAAGACAUCACUGAAACAUUUCCUGAUGAACAACUGUUAGUGCUAUAACAUGCACAGAUGCUACAGCAACCGAGAUCUCCAUGGUAUGGAGAUUUUGCUAACUACUUAGUAAGUGGAUUGCUACCACCUGGGUUGAAUUUUCAGUAGAAAAAGAAAUUUCAUUUUCAGUAGAAAAAGAAAUUUCAUUUUCAGUAGAAAAAAAAUUUUCAUUUUCAGUAGAAAAAAAAUUUUCAUUUUCAGUAGAAAAAGAAAUUUUCAUUUUCAGUAGAAAAAGAAAUUUUUUCAUGAUGUUAAAAGCUACCAGUGGGAUGAUCCAUACUUGUAUAAGUUAUGCUUAGAUCAGGUAAUCCGAAGAUGUGUUUCAGAGGAAGCAAUUUCACAUAUACUGCAAUAUGGCCAUGCUGCAGCAUAUGAAGGACAUUUUGGUGGACAAAGAACAACUGCUAAAGUUCUACAAUCAGGUUAUUACUGGCUUUCUAUUUUUAAGGAUACUUAUGAGUUUGCUAAACGUUGUGACAGAUGCCAAAAGACAGGAAACAUAACUCAAAGACAUGAAAUGUCAUUAACAAACAUUCUGGAAGUGGAGAUUUUUUAUGUAUAGGGAAUAGACUUCAUGGGCCUUUUCCCACCAUCCUUUGAGAAUUUUUAUAUCCUGGUUGCUGUGGAUUAUGUCUCCAAGUGGGUAGAAGCUGCAGCAUUACCUAUCAACGAUGCAAGAGCAAUAGUGAAUUUUCUUCAGAAAAAUAUUUUUUCCAGGUUUGGCACUCCACGAGCAAUUAUUAGUGAUGAGGGUACUCAUUUCUGCAACAAAGCAUUUGCUGCAGCAAUGGCCAAAUAUAGAGUCAAACACAAAAUUGCGACAGCAUAUCACCCACAAUCCAAUGGCCAGGCAAAAGUAUCUAAUAGGGAAAUUAAGAAGAUUCUAGAAAAGGUAGUGAAUCCUUCAAGAAAGGAUUGGUCAUUGCGAUUACAUAAAUCUUUAUAGGCUUUCAGAACAGCAUAGAAGACACCACUUGGCAUGUCUCCCUACCAAAUUGUGUAUGGAGCACAAAGCAUAUUGGGCACUGAAGCAAUUAAAUUAGGAUAUACAUGCUGCAACAGAGCAGAGGAAACUUCAACUAUGUGAACUUGAUGAAUUACGGUUAUUCUCAUAUGAAAAUGCAAGAAUCUAUAAGGAGAGAACAAAACAAUGGCAUGACAAGCACAUCCAAUAAAGAAAAUUAAUCCCUGGUCAACUAGUUCUGCUCCAUAAUACUAGGUUAAGACUAUUUCCAGGAAAGCUGAAAUCUAGAUGGUCUGGACUUUUCAAGCUGCUCAGAAUUUACCCUCAUGGGGCUGUUGAACUCUUAGAUGGAAAGACAGGCCAAGAAUUCAAAGUUAAUGGGCACAGAGUUAAGCAUUACAUGCAUUCAGUUACAGAUUGUUCAAAUGAGGUCGUACUCCUUAGUAAACCGGCAUUGUGAGCAUUCAAGAAAGGUCACGUUGAAGGACCUUAAAUCAAACAUUGAAUGGGAGGCAACCCAUUGCUGAGGCAGUCAUUUCAAAUGAAGUGGAUCCUCCAUGUUUUUGUUGUAGUAUUUAUUUAUUUAUUAUUUUUCUUAGUUAGGAUUGUUUAAUUUUUAUCUUUUAUUGUUUUAUUUUAAAAAAAAACGAAACAUGCCAAGUCACGCAAUUCUUAGAGUUGGAUUCAAUACUGACAAUUGGUGUUGUAAUAUUAACAGGUUACAAAGGCAAGUUACUUGACAGCAACCAUCUGAGGAGAUUGUUGUGCAGAUUGCUAGAGCAUACAUUUUGUUGCUGCAACAACCAAUUUUAUUAUUACAGUAACUUAACUACGGAGCCUCACAUUUUACCGUUGGAGAUAACAUGUGACAGCUAGUUGGGUGAACUCAGAUAAAGAUUGGGGAAGAAUGCAUAAUCUCUUAAAUAACUGCAUCAAUAUCUCUUUCCUAUUUUUAUGGGAUAUGCUUAAUAAAUUCAAAAAUUCUUCCCUAAUUUAUCUCUUUUACCAAAUUUAUUUUAUUUAUUUUGCACCUAUAUAAGAGUUUCAUUGUGCAUGUUGACCUCUAACACUAUUUUCUUUUCCCUUCACAGUCACAACCCCUCUAUUUUAUAACCUCUGCUCUUCGUUUCACUCUUGAACAUAUUACCACAGUUAUCCUACUACUGCAGUAAUGCCAAGGUAUAAAAGGACAGCCAGCCGACUAAACGAUCUAUCACAAUUUUAAAGUUACCAUGCGGAAGAGAAGUAUGAAGAAUUUAUUGAACCGCGCAAGAUUUUGGAAGAAAAAGGGCUUCAGUUCCCACCUCAACCCUCUAGAAUUGUGCAAUCAUUAUACGAUGCUGCAGCAAAGCACGGGUGGCUGGAGUUUUGUAACCACCCCCGAGAUCCUGUGUUGGAGCUAUUUGCAGCACUUGGAGGACCACCUACACCAAUUUGUUGUAUAUAUAAAAGUACCCAUAACAAUUUCCCUGAUUCACUGCUACAACAGUACAAUUUUGGUACCUCCAUUAUAGAAGUCAGUGAAGAUGUUGCUGACACAGAUAAACAUGAGGAAGAAACAGCAGCAGAACAGCAAGCAGAUGCUGAUAUAGAUGCUGAUAACCAGUCAGACCAGCAUGAAGAAUAAUGUGUCCAGUCUACAAUUGAUAGUUCCCCGACAGAGGAGGAGGAAAAGCAUGAGAAAGAACUCGAAGAACCCUCAGCCAGGACCUUUUCCAAGUCCAGGAAAAAGCACAUCAUACGAGAAAAGGAAGAUGAACCUGCAGAGGAGCCUCCCAUUCCAUUCCUCUCUCGAAAGGGCAAAGAGAAAGUAAUUACCCCUCCUGCAUCUGACGAUGAAGCCGAGCACAUUGAUGCAGAAUUGGAAGUUGCAGCAGCCAGGGUUACUCGUACACCCAUCGAGACAAAGCAUAUGCUUGAUAUCAUUGCCGCAAUCAUGACUGAGGGGUAUACAGUCGAAGACCCAACUCCAGCUCCCUCACGGCAAACCCCCAGCAAACCUAUUCUCGCUAGUCCUAAAGGACCCAGCAAAAGAAAGGGGGGCACUUCUGGAGGCAUUGCUGCAGUAGACACACCAGAGCCAAAGAGGACCAUAUCUGUUUUGUCCCAGCCAGCUGCACCCACUGCAACUCCUCCUACUAGCCCAUCGCAAAGAAAGAAAAAGUCAUUGCCAACUACCUCACCGCAAGAAUCUCCUAAAGACCGACUGCGGAGCGCCUCCAAAAAGCGGUGAAUUGGUUAUAAUUUAUUGCAGCAGUAUUUCUAGCACCAGGGGAGUACCACUACCCGCUAGUUUAUUUUACUUCUUCAUGCAACAACUUUUUCUUCAUUUAGUUUUAAUUUUCUGAUUUAUUUUGCAUGUCUUUUUAUUUAGUAUAUGCAUAUCUGGUUUAUAUGGUUUUGUUUUGUGUGCCUGUGAAGACACAACACCUUUCAAGUUUUGGGGGGUUGUGCUAUCAUAUAGUGUGUUAUUGAGUGCAUUGCAUGUGUUGUGGUGUUGUUUGUGAAGUGAAGCUCUGUAUCUACUGCUUAUGUAUGGAUUUGAAAGCCUAAUGAAGAUAAAUUGAGUGUUACUCAGUAUGUAUGAGAAUGCCCAGUAGGGAUAGUCAUAGAUGGAGAUUGAAAUUAUGUCCCGACACUUAGACUUUGGUUGAAAUUCAUGAGACUGCUGCAGCAAAAUCAAGAAAACUGCAAAGAGUAGAAAAUAUAUCAAGUUUAGGGGAAAUGUGUGUGUUGAGUUGUGCUUAUUAAAGUCUGUUCCAAUGGCUUAAAUGGUUGAGUAACUACGGCUGAGUAUGUACCCCAUAUGCAGACUUGAGUUAAAAAGCAACAAGAGUUAUGAGCAUUGUUGUAGCAAUUGAAAAAAAAAAGAAAAAAAAAAGAAGUCCUCUGUCUGAGAAAUUGAGUAGCCAUGUCUGUUAAUGAGCCCCAUGUUCAGCCUUGAGUUAAAGAUAUCUUUAGAUAAGACUAUGUUAUGACCAUUGCUAUAGCAACUCUGACAUGUACGUUGAGUAAGUAAUUGGGUGUCAUCAUUACAAGUGAUAGGCAUUCACAUGAAAGUUCAAUGUUGUAUUGAAGGGAGUGAAUAUAUAGAUAUAUAUAUAUAUAUAUAUAUUGUUUGUUGAAGCACAAUUUAUGUUUAUUUGUGAAUUAUGCUCUCCCAUAUAUGAAUAUAUUUGUGUUCUACCUUUGAAUUACAUGCAAUAUCUCUGUAAUGUUGUAGCAUCUCUGGACUUUGAUCAAAGUGGCACACACAUUUUGGACAGAAUGCAGCCUAAGUCUAGAACUGAACUGUUAUGGCUAUUUUGCAUGAUUAAGAGUGUGAUCUGAGGGUGGAAGAAUCCUUGCAACUUUGAUGAUAAAGCUGAGCUAUUUGUUGCAUGAUUGAGUGAUUGAAGUGUUAGCAUUGUUGUCAUUACUUAAAAACAAGUAAUGGUUUAAGUUUGGGGGUGUGAUAACUCUAUGAAAUGAGCGUUAUUAUGGUAAUGCUAGAAUUAAAUCAAUAUUUACUUAGAGAGUAAAUAAUGUGUUUCUAUUAUAUUUUUCUAUUGUAUUUAAUAAAUUUUACUUAGUUUAGAAUAAUUUGUGCUUAAAUUGUGUGCAUAAUUGUAGGUGUCCAGAAGCUCAUAUCUCAUGGAAGGAGUGCUGAUGCAAUAGGCUUGUAAAAAUGAGGAAGAACAUGGCUACAAAAGAAUUGAAACAAAUCUGGAACAAUGUAGUGUUGUAGCCGUUGCUGUAGCAACCAUUACUGUAGCAAUCCUGGAACAACGACAGAGAAAAUUUAGCGCGGGAUACUUGUAGAAUCGAGAUCUGCAGUUUUCUAAUCUGACUUAUGCGCGUCUUAGGCUUUUGUUUACCCUAAUUUUCAGUUAUAAAAAGAGCACGCAUCAUAUGGUAAAGGGGGCGGUGAAUUAACAUCGAAUAAAUAAAUCAAGAGGAAAAGAAGGAAAAAUCAGAAUUCAAGGGAGAGCAAGUUUGCACUAGUGAAGAGAUCGGCAGAACUAUUUGGAUUCAAUUUUCAUCAUUCUUUACUUGUCCCCUUUCUUACUCUUUGAUUGAACCGAUGUAUUUCAUGGCUGAUACUUUGUUGUUUGUUUUUCUUUUCCAAAGUAUGAACUAAAUUUGAUUGUAGUUGAGUGACAAAUAAUCGCAAUGGGUUUUUGACUAUUCUUAUGAGUUGCUGAAAAAUUGAUGUAGCAUUUUGCUCUAAUAGCUUAUAUUACAAUCAUUAUUUCGGUUGACUUCUCAUUUAAUGGUUAAAGUUAAAAGAAAGCCGUAAAAGGGCCUGUAUUAGUGGAAAUUAUUAGAGUAAUACUUGAUCUUAAUUUAAGUUUCCUAAAUUGAGUUUAACGUGAGUGCCAAAAUAGCCACACUUAAGUUAAGAUUUGUGAAGAACUAGAUAUAUGGAUUCAUCUUGUAGGGUAGAGGGGGUGUAUGUUCAUAAUGUCAUACCUUAGGUGAAAUAACAACUGGUCAUUGUUAGGGUGCUUAAGGGUAUGAGAAGUCCAACAAGAGACAGUUGAGGAUGCAAAAUAAUUAUGCCCAUGAAGAGAGUUUGAUCAUUCAGCUACCUCAUUCUCUUUAAAUUCUUCUUUACGCAAUUCAUCUAAUUUACUUUAUUACUGCAUUUAUUUUAUUAAAAUUGUUAAUUUCAGUAGUAAUCAACUUUAAUUAGAUUUCUCUUUAGAUAAAAGAAGUUUGCACUGUCGUGAUUGCUGUAGCAUUUCUAGUAACAUCAAUCCAUGUGGAGACGAUCUUGAAUAUUCAUCACUUUAUUACUUGUUGUGUACAUUUGCAUAUGACAUCAAUAACAAUUGAGUUAAAUUAACCAACAAUGUGUUAGAAGCCAAGAUUAAGAAAGAAGAUGUGAAUGUGGCUAUAAAAGAUUCUGACAUUGAGACAUGGUAUAAAAAGUUUGGUCACAUUGGUGAAAAAGGGUUAGAAACUCUUGCCAGAAAAAGAUUUCUACCCAGCUUCGUAGAUAUGUCCCUCAAGACUUUUGCUCAUUCCUUAGCUGGAAAGACACACAGAGUAGCUUUUAAAAGGUUUUCUCCAUCUAGAAAGUCGCAAAUCCUUGAUUUGAUUCACACUGAUUUUUGCAUGAUGUAAAGUAGAUCAAUUGGAGGUGCACUUUAUUUUGUUACUUUUAUUGAUGACUAUUCUACAAAGGUGUGGGCUUUUGCUUUGAAAUCUAAAGAUCAAGUGCUUGAUAUAUUUAAGUUCUUCCAUACUUAUUUUGAGAGAGAGACGAGAAGAAAAUUAAAAUGCGUCAGGGUAGAUAAUGGUGGUGAGUAUAAAAGGCCAUUUGACCAAUAUUGCAGAUCCCAUAGAAUUAGACUUGAGAAGACCGUACUAAAACCCCACUGUAGAAUGGUAUUGCAGAAAUGAUGAACAGAACAAUUGAAAAGAGAGUCAGGUGUAUGCCUUCUGAUGCCAAGCUUCAUAAAUCCUUCUGGGCAGAGACUAUGCGUUCUGCAGUUGACUGGAUUAAAUUUUUCUCCUUCAGCUCCAUUGAUGGUGAUGUACCUGAGAUAGUUUGGACUGAAAUAUAUGUUUAUUACAAACACUUGAGAGUGUUUGGUUACAGAAUAUAUGUUCACAUUCAUAAGGAUGAAAGAUCGAAGCUUGAUGACAAAGCUAAAAAAUGCAUUUUCUUAGGCUAUGGGCAUAAAGAAUUUGGGUACAGAUUAUGGGAUCCAGUGCCAAGAAAAUUGAUCAGAAGUAAACAUGUUGUGUUCCUCGAAGAUCAAAUAGUUAGUGAUGCAGAGAAUAGUGAUGAGUCUCAGUCAUCUCUAAAGAUUCCUAUUAUUCUAACUUUAGUUUCUUCAUCUAUAGUUCAUAAUGAUCAUGGAGGAGCUGGAGAGGAUAGUAAUGAUGGUCCAGCAGAACUAGUUGACCAAGCACCUCCAGAACCACCUGCACCAUCAAUGGAGCCUGAAUUGAGAAGAUUUACUAGAGAACGGUGACCUUCCACCAGAUAUCCUCCACAUGAGUAUAUGAUGCUUACAGAUGAAGGGGAGCCAUAAUGUUUUGAAGAAGCCAUGUUUCAAAUAACUCACAAUAACGAUACAAGGCUAGACUGGUUGAUGGGGUACCUAGCAACUUCUUGUUGUGUGGGCUGAUCAGACUUUACUUUCUUAGUUUCUGAUUCUUCUUAUGCUUGCAUUGUUACAGCAUAUACGGAGGGUUGUGCCUUUUUACGCUUGUUGGAUGCCCUAGGAGUUCUGCUAGGAGAUUUGAUGGGAGGUUGUUGAGUAAUGCUUACUGUAGUAGUUUCCCCAGAUGUGAUUUUAGCAAUAAUAUCAGGGAAACUCUUAUUUGCUUCAUCAGUUUUUGUAGCCCUGGUAUCAGCUGCUUUAAUUUCUGCAUCAAUAUCAUCUUGAUCAUUGUCUGAUUCUUCAUCAGUCAGAACUUUUUGUUUACCUUUACUUAGAAACACUGUAAUCGGGGGUUCAUCAUCCUGCCCAUCCUAUGUCUCAUCUUCGUAAACUUUUAUGAUGUGCUUCUUUUUACGUUUAGGAGGUACUACUGGAGGUGCCUCAUCCUUCUACGUUGCUGAUUCGUCUUCUGUACUAUAUUCCUCCUCUAUUUCUUCUUAUUAUUUUUCCUUCUUCUCUUUCUCUUCCUCUGCUGGUAGUGGGUCUUUUUCAGAUUCUAAUUCUUCUUCACUCUCUGCUGCUGCCUCAACUACUGGAGCAUCCCUUGUUAAUGUUUGGAAAUUAAACGGCUACAACAAGGAGUCAUGGAAAUCUUUGCUCUUUUUCUUCAUGUAGACUUCAAACUAAUGUCUAUGGUUUUCAAGGUGCAUUAAAUAAUUCCUGAAUCUUUGAUUUUGUUCUUUCCAUGCGUGUACACAUUCAUUAAUGGUGUCACUUAAUUCUUGCAGCUUCAUCUCAAUGCCAGUAACGUUCAUUGCUCUGGUCACAACAACAUACUCUGGUGUUGCUGUAGUAGUAGUUUCCCUAGCAAUUCUUUCAACAAUUCGAUCAGUAAGAGCUCAUUCAUUCUUAAUGCUUUCAUCUUUUGCUGAUAUUUUCACCCGAAAUACCAGACAAAUCCUAGUAAUGAGUGAGCGAAACAACAAAGCAGCAAUCUUGUGAUUUUUCAUGGCACACUCUAAUCUCCCUCUCUAUAAUUUUCCUCACAUCAAUUGGUAUACCCUUGAAAAUGGCAUAUAAUAGGUAAGAUUUUCAUGAGAUACGGUGGUGGUGUAUGUGGUGGGUAUCAAUCGAGAUUUUAGAAAUUUUACCCACACUUUGGCUACUGGUUUCAAAUCAAUUCUAUUCACUCCUCUGCCUUCCUCAUUCAACCAUGAACUACCCUCCACCAUAAGGAUUUCAAGCACAUCACUUCACUCCUUAGCAAUCAUAUUCUCAAUCAUUUUUGAAUACUCACAAUCAAUAUCAUAUGGUAAAUUAUAAAAAAGCAUUGAUUACCCUCGGAUCUAAAGGGACUUGAACAUUCCUUACCACUAUUGUGCAUUGGUCUUGCCGCAACAUGUUGGAGUAAAAUUCCUUAACGAUUGGGAGCACAAGGUCUCGUGGGUGAGUGUAAAAAUCUAGCCAUCUUUUCUUUGCUACAGCAACAUAGAUUGUGUUGAUUGUUCCUGAUGGUUGUUGAGGGAAUUGAAAAUCAUUUUCCUCUAAAAUCUUCUUAGGCUCUAUAAAUUCUUCAAAUUAUCCUCGGCUUUGUCACUAUGGAAGCGUGAGGGGUCCUUUAGUCGAGCAGUUGUCUUCUUGUACCACGUUAUUGCUAGAGCAACAAAACUGAGUUGUUGGGUACCUAAAAAAGAAAAAACUCAUGAAAGUGACUCUAAAGUAUGUGGAGAACUGUGGACUAGAAGAGAAAAAAUUUGGAUAAGAAUGAAAAGAAGCAUUGUGAAACCCUAAUUUAUAGGUCACGGUAAAAUAGAAAAAAAUAAUUAAUGAGGUAAAUUUAGAAAUUGUAUUUGAAAUUUAAAAUAAAUCCACAUUUACGUUCGGGAAUUUAGGGAUUAUGUAAUCCAUUCUUAUUUUUUAUCUUGAUUUCUUGAGCCAUCUAUCAAAAAUUUACUCCCAACGGUGCAAAAAUACUUUCCAUAGUUAUGUCACUAUAACGGUAAGAAUCAUUGCUACAACAAGUAAUAUAGUGCUGCAGCAACUGCGAUAAAGUCCCUAGUUUGAUGAGAACCAUUGUUCAACUGUCAUAUAAAGUGUAAUGCUGCAACAUCUUGUGUCAGUGUUUUAUCCAAAAAAAAUUCAUUAUUAUUUAUACAUGCCGUAAUAAAAUAAUAGACACAAAUAAAUUAGAUAAAAACUUCAAAAUAUCAACAACCGUAAAGAAAAACAUGAAAACUAAAUUUAAUGUUAAAGGAAAAAUUGAAAUAACUCCCUUAAUCAUUGGGUUGCCUCCCAAUUAGCACUUUAUUUAAGGUCUUUCAGUCUGACCCCCCUUAAUUGCUCAAACUGGAUUUAUGAGGCACAAAUCCUCCCUUGAAUGGUGAAAAUCAUCAUUAAUAUAGUGUUUCACCCGCUGCCCAUUUACUAUAAAUUCAAUGCUAGUUCUCUCAUCUUUGAGGUCCACAGCCCCAUGAGGAUGGAUUUUGAUAAGUCCAAAAGGCCCUGACCAUCUAGACUUUAACUUUCCUAAAAAAAAGCUUUGAUCUAGAGUUGUAGAGCAAAACUCAUUGACCUAGAAUUAAAUCCCUUUGCUGGAUGCGUUUAUCAUGCCAUUGUUUUGUUUUGUCUUUGCAAAUCCUUGCGUUAUCAUAAAAGAACUAUCUUAAUCUUUAAACUCACAAAGUUAAAACUUCCUAUGCUCUGCUGCAACAUGCAUGUCCAUGUUCAGUUGUUUUAGCGCCCAAAAUGCUUUAUGCUCUAGCUCCAGUGGCAAAUAGAAAGCUUUGCCAUAUAUAAUUUUAUAUGGUGACAUGCCAAGUAGUAUUUUGUAAGCUGUGCGAUAUGCCUGUAAGGAAUCAUGUAAUCUAAAAGACCAAUAUUUUCUAGUAGGGUUCACCACUUUUUCUAAAAUCCUUUUUAUUUCCUUGUUGGACACUUCUGGCUGACCAUUAGAUUGAGGGUGAUAUAUUGUAGCAACCUUGUGCUUAAUUCUAUAUUUGGCCAAUGCUGCAGCAAAUAUUCUGUUGCAAAAAUGAGUGCUUUCAUCACUGAUGAUGGCUCUAAGAGUCCCAAAUCUUGUGAAAAUGUUCUUUUAAAUGAAUCUCACCAUGGCUUUGGCAUCAUUUGUUGGUAGUGUUACAACUUCCGCCCAUUUGAACACAUAGUUUAUAGCAACUAAAAUGUAUAAAUCCCCAAAAGAGGGUGGGAAUGGACCCAUGAAAUCCAUCCCCCCAACAUCAAAUAGCUCAACUUCUAAAAUGUUGGUUAAUGGCACUUCAUGUUUUUUAGAGAUGUUCCUUGUUAUUUGGCACCUGUCACAACAUUUAACAAACUUAUAAGCAUCUUUAAAAAUAGAGGGCCAGUAAUAACCUGAUUGUAUAAUUUUUUUACUGCUGGUCUGUGGCCUCCAAAAUGGCCUCCAUAUGCUACAGCAUGACAUGAUUGCAGUAUGUUUGAAAUUUCUUCAUCAGAUACAUAUCUUCUAAUCAUAUAGCCUGAGCAUAUCUUGUACAAAUAAGGUUCAUCCAACUGAUAACUUCUAACAUCAUUAAGAAAUCUCUUCUUCUAUUGGUAACUUAGAUUAAGUGGUAACAAUCAGCUCACCAAGUAAUUAGCAAAAUCUACAUACCAUGGAAGCCCAGAUUAUUGUAGCAUAUGUGUAUGCUUUAGCAUUAACAAUUGCUCAUUAAGAAAUGUCUCUGUGAUCUCUUGCUUGAUUAGAGUGCUUUCAUCUGCUUCCAGCCUUGAAAGAUGAAAUUCUCCUUGGUUCUCAGUCCCUAUUCUUUGUUUAAUCUCGAAGUCAAAUUCUUGUAGCAAAAGGAUCCACCUUAUCAACCUUGGUUUGGCAUCUUUUUUUUAAAAUCAAAUACUUUAUGGCUAAGUAAUCUGUGUAAACAGUCACUUUGGUGCCAACCAAAUAAGCUCUAAAUUUGUCAAAUACAAAGACAAUUGCUAGUAACUCAUUUUUCAAUGGUAGUGUAAUUAAUCUGAGCAUCAGCUAAAGUUUUGUUAGCAUUAUAAAUAGAGUGAAAAAUUUUGUUCUUUCUUUGCCCUAACACUGCUCCAACAGAGUGGUCGCUGGCAUCAGAUAUCAACUUAAAAGGUAAGUUCCAAUCUGGUGUUAUAACAAUUGGUGCUGUAGCAAAAGCUUUCUUCAAUUCUAUAAAAGUCUUUAAACAAAGCUUACCAAAAUAGAAAGGCCUAUCAUGCUCCAGCAGCUAGCAUAAGAGUUUUGAUAAUUUAGAAAAUCCUUAAUGAAUGUUAUAUAGAAUUAUGCAUGUCCCAAGAAAUUCCUAAUGCCUUUAACUGAAGUAGGUGGUGGGAGUUUACUAUUUUGACCUUCUCCACUUAUAUUCCUUUUCUAGAGACUUUAUGGCUUAGGAUUAUCCCUUCUUGUACCAUAAAAUGACACGUUUCCUAAUUCAACACUGAAUUUAUCUCCUCACAUAUUUUAAGCAUAUUUUCUAGAUUAUGUAAACAAUCAUCAUAGAUCUCCCCAAAAAUCGAAAAGUCAUCCGUGAAUACCUCAAGCGUUUGCUCUACCAUAUUUCAAAAAAUAGACAUCAUACACCUCUGGAAUGUUGCUAAAGCAUUGCACAAACUAAAGGACAUCCUUCUUAAAUCCUUCUGAAAUAAGCAAAAGUUUCAUAAAGACAAGUGAAUAUUGUCUUCUCCUUAUCCUCUAGUGCUAUAGCAAUAUGGUUGUAGCCAGAAUACUCAUCCAAGAAACAGCAGUACUUUUUUCCAACAAGUAUGUCUAGCAUCUAAUCUAUGAAAGGCAACGGGAAGUGAUCAUUCCUUGUGGCGUUGUUUAGCUUCCUAUAGUUCAUGCAAACUCUUCAUACAGUUACUGUUUUGUGGGAAUAAGCUCAUUCUUCUCAUUUGUUGCAAUAGUCACUCCACCUUUCUUUGGAUCACAUUGUACUGGACUCACUCAGGAGCUGUCGGAUAUUGGGUAGAUGAUUCCAGCAUCAAGUCAUUUGAUAAUCUCUUUCUUGGUCAAUUUGGGUGAGUACUUGCUAGCAAUCCUCUAGCAAUUAAUUUGAAUUCUUAUAGCUAUUUGACAACUAUUAAUUUAUGUUUUUAUAUUUUCAUAUUAAAUAUAUUUAUUUAUUUAUUUUGAUAAAUUUUUAAAAAAUCAUUACUUAAAUUUAAUUAAUGAAAUAUUUUAAAAAAAUAUUAAAUUGAUAAAAUAAAAUUAUAAAUAAUAACUAUUUGAUGACAUUAAACAAGUUAAAAAGUUAAAGGGGUAAUUUUAAAAGCUUUGAUUUCCAAAAGAAGAAGAAUUUGAAUUCUUCAAUUCUUUGUAUAAAAUUCAAAUUCUAUAUUAGGAUGAAUAGUAAAUUCUAAUAAAAUUUAAAUUCUUAUAUAUUUUGUCCAACCAAACAAUUAAAAAAAAAAAUUCAAAUUACUUUCCUAUUCUCUAUCCUCACCUCCCAACCAAACACCAUCUAAACUCCUUAAUAUGCCACCCACAUAUUCAAACACCUUUGAGAAUCAAAGUAUCCCAGAUCUCCAGUAAGGAACCACCCAAAUUGAAAAGUAGUCUUAUUAGCCUCAGGAUUACCUUUAAUCAAAGUAUCCCAGAUCUUGCUAGCAAUCCUCUAGCAAGAUCUUGUACAUACAUAUGGAGGGGCUGAUUCAUUUGAUAUCUUUCAUGGUCUAUCUAAUGGCCUUCUUGUAUCUCCCCAACAUUUCCACUCAGCUCUUUACUUGAUCUGCAUUCAAAGAAGAUGAAAUGAUUACAUGUAGUGUGUUAUUAUCACCAAGAUAAACAUAUUUUAGAUGUGAAGGUAGAAGUUUUAAGUAUAAAACAUGAGGUAAUUCAAUAGAUGGUACAGCAGGUUUCACUUCCCCAUUUGAAAGAUCUAGAGACUCAAAAUGUCUGUUUGUCCUCACAGGUCGCUUCUCUCUUAACUAUGCUAUAUGCGUUGCUGCAGCAUCUUCAUCUUCAAGUUCUUCAAAUGUGGCGGCCUUGAUUUCUUCAUUGUUGCAGCAAUUAUUUAAGAUGUCUGUGACAGUAAGCUUCACAGCACCGACCAAAUCACAAUCUUCAACUUCAUCAAGACUCAUCAUUGCUUCCAAUACAUUAAAGGUAACUUACUGAUCAUUAACCCUCAUACUCAACUCUCAUUUUUUAACAUCAAUUAAAGUUUUUCCUGUGGCUAAAAAGGGUUUGCCUAGAAUAAUUUGUACUUCUUUAUCUGCUUCAAAGUCCAACACUAUGAAAUCCACUGGAAAAAUGAAUUUAUCCACUUUAAUCAAUACAUCUUCAAUUUUGCCUUCAGGAUAAGCAUGAGAUUUAUCAGCAAGUUGCAAUGUCACUGUGAUUGGUCUGACUUCUCCAACUCCCAAUUAUGUGAAUACUGAUAAUGGCAUAAGAUUAAUGCUUGCUCUCAAAUCACAAAGUGUCUUACUAUUGUAUUUAGUUCUUGUGGAACAAAGAAUUUUAAAACUUCCUGGAUCCUUUAACUUCUAAGGAAUUUUACUUUAAAGUAUAUGGUUCCAUUAUUGUCUUAAAGCAACUAUUUUGAAUUCUCCAAGCCUUUUUUUUCUUGCCAAUAUAUCUUUAAAAAACUUCACAUAAUUUGGCAUUUGUUCCAAUACGUCCACAAAAGAAAUUUUGAAAUGCAGUUGUUUUAAUACUUCCAAUAAUUUACUAAACUGCUUGUCAUGUUUUUACUUCUGAAAUCAUUACGGGAAGAUUUCCCCUUGGGUAUAAUUAGGUUAUGUUCUUCUUUUUGGUACUUUAACUAAAAUAUGAACAUCCUUUUCAGACCUUAAGUUAAUCACCUUGCAAUGCUCUUUUCUUUCUCUUCUUGGAUCCUCUGUAUUGCUUAGUAAAUUGCCCUAAGGUAUGUUGCUCAAUGCUGUAGCAAGCUGUCCAAUCUGAUUCUCCAAGUUUCUUAAAGAUAUGGCUUGACUUUGGACUACUACUUCAUUCUUCACAAUAUACUCCAUAAUUAGAGUUUCAAAGGAACUAAAUUGAUCAUUACUGGUGUUUAUUUUCCCUUAAAAUUGCUGAUGAAAUCCAAGUGGCUAAGCAGGUCUGUUAUGUCCAUUAGAUGUUGCAACAUGCUGAUUCUGAUUGCUCCAUGAAAAGUUUGGGUGCUGUCUCCAUUCAGGAUUAUAGAUGUUUGAAAAUGGAUUGGUUUGAUUUUGUCUAUUGAAAUUGCCCGCAUAAUUGACUAAGCUGGAUUUCCAGGACAACUAUCAUAUAGAUGUCCCUCUCCACAAUAAACACAAGAGACUUCAGCAACUUGGUUAGUUGUUGCUGGAGCAGUGGUCGUUGAUUUUACCAUAUUUGUUAAUGAGGUUACUUGGGCUGAUAAUGAUGUCAGUGCAUCCACAUUGUGUACUCCAGUUACUCCUCUUAUUGCGGCUUGUCUAAUUAAUGGCCAUUAAUAGUUAUUGUUGGCUAUCUUUUUCAAAAUUUCAUAAGCCUCAUUGUAUUACUUAGACAACAAGGCCCCUAGUGUUUGAGUUCAACCCAUUGUAGAUAGUUUCCAAUUGUACACAACAAGGAAUACCAUGAUGAAGGCAUCUCCUGGGUAACUCCUUGAAUCUUUCCCAUGCAUCAUACAAGCUUUCAUCUUCAAGUUGAUGGAAAGAUGUGAUCUCAUUCCUCAACUUUACAUUCUUUGUCGGUGGGAAAUAUUUCAUCAAAAAUUUGUCAGCCAAAUCAUUCCAUGUGGUGAUGGAGUCUAGUGGCAAAGAAUUCAACCAUGCCCUUGCUUGAUCUCUUAAAGAAUACGGGAAAAUUUUGAGUCUCAAUGCAUCUUGUGAUGCUCCAGCAAUUUUAAAAGCAUCACUUACCUCCAAGAAUAGUUUAAGGUGAAGAUGAAGAUCUUCUUAUGGCAAUUCAUUGAAUUGCCCCACUGUUUGUAAUAUCUAAAACAUCACUGGUUUGAGCUCGAAAUUGACAACUUGCAUUUCAGGUCUAACUAUUCCAGGAUGUAUAACUUGAGGGGUCAACACGGCAUAGUCUCUAAUGGCUCUGUCUCUAUCAUCUGUCAUGUAGAUAAUAUUGUUGUUCCCUGGUUGUCCCCAAAUAUUCUGCUCAUUAUGGCUUUCUUGGUCAUUAACUGGUUAUAUUUCUCUGUGAGGGUUCAAGUUCCUCAUAUCUUGCAAAUCGUCCAUUACUACAGCAGCUUUUGAAUGCUUAUUCUCUUUCCUCAAUCUCCUUACAAUUCUUUCAAUCUCUGGAUCAAAUUGGAAUUCAACAUGUUUGUAUUUGCGCAUGCAAGGGUUGGUAGAGCUCUUCUACAAACACAUUAAAAAAAAAGAAAAUUAAAAUCUUGCAUCAACUAAAAUUGAUUUCACAAAACACAAUAAGCACCAAUCCCCGGCAACGACGCUAAAAACUUAUUGUAGGUUUUCUAAUGCUAUUAGUGUCAAUGUGCAAGUGCACAUAACAAGUAAUAUAAUGAUAAAUAUUCUAGAUUGUCUCCACAAGGAUUAUUGUUAUAGGAAUUGCUACAACAAUUUUAUCAGUGCAAUUUUUAUUCUAAAUUAGAAUUAAAAUAAAUUAUUAAAUUAAUGAACUAAUUAAGAUAAAAAUGCAAUAAGAAAAAUACAAUAACAUAAAUUAUCACAGCAAAUAUAAGGAUGUAACCAAGGGGAAUGGAGUAGUUGAGUAAUUAAACUCACUUAAUGGUUUUGAUUAUUUUUCUAAUGUUUGGUUCGAUUACUACAACAUCUUCUACAGCACUGGGAAGAAUCCUUAUGUAUCCUCAAUUGUCGCAUGUUGGAUGUCUUAUACCUAAAAACAACUUAACAAUGACCAAUUGUUAUGCUAACAUUAGAUAUAGCAUUACACGUUUUAGAUUCGAAUUACCCUACAAGGUGAAUCCUUAUAUCUAGUUCAUCACUAAUUUUAGAUUACGCAUGACCUUUUUUUAAUCAGGUUAAACCCAAUUCAGGAAACCCAAUCUAAACCCAACUUAGGAAACCUAAUCUAAACCAAGUAUUGUUAUGAUAUGUUCCACUAAGACAGGUCUUUAUAGGCUCUAUCUUAGCUAAUAUCACUAAAUGGGUGGUCAGCCAAAAUAGUGAAUUGAAAUAAGUAUUAUUAAAACAACGUACUAUAGCAAACAUGCCCCAAUAUAGUAUAUCAGUCAAUUAACUAUCAAGUUUGCUCAUCGCUCAACCACGAGUAAAUUUAGUUCAUAAUUUGCAAUAAAACAAUAAUCAAAAUAGUUUUAGCCAUCAAAUAAUCCAUCAUAACAAGAUAAAAGUAAGAGAACAAAAAAUAAGAGUUGAGAUCUGUUUGAUGUUCUUCUAGAAUUCUUUGUUGCCGUCUUCGAUUCUCUCUCUUGAUAUUUGUUUUAUCUUGUUUUGUUUCUCUAUUGUUUCUCUCAAAUGACGGUCUCUCCUUUUUCUUUGCGUUUGUACUUCUUUUAUAUCUUAGCAUCAGGGCAACCGGAAGCCUAGGGUGCGCAUAUUCUAGUUUAGGAAACUCAAGAUCGCAAUCUUCCAAGUAUUAUAAGCGAAAUCUUUUCUGCCAUUGUUCCAGGAUUGCUACAGGAACAAUGCUACAGCAAUGGCUUCAGCACCUGCACUGUUCCAGAAUUGUUUCAAUUCUUAUAUAACCAUAUUCUUUCUUUAUCUUUGCAAGCCUAUUGCAGCAGCAUUCCUCCCUUGAAAUUUGAGCUUCCGGUCACCUAUAAUUAUAUUAUGAUCUAAGCACAAAAAUUAUUCUGAAACAAUGCAAUUUAUUAAAAUAAACUAUGGAUAUUCAUACAAAAUAUAACUAAAAUGCAAUAAAAAUAUGCCAUUUACUCUCUAAGUAAUCUUGAUUUAAGUCUAAAAAUGUCAUGAAAACUUUCAUUUCACAGAGUUAUCAGCAGCAAAAGGGUUAAUCCAACUAUUGAUUUAGAUCAAGUCUAUAAUGACAAUAACCCCUAACUAUUUGAGCUUAAAGCUCUUGCCAGCAAAUGGGCAAUUGGGAUGAAAGUCCUCUAUAAACAACUUGAAUAGAUAAGUAAAGAAAAAAAAAUGUGGCUUCACUAAGUCAAAACAAAACAUAUAAUCUAUUCAUUCAGUAAAAAAGAAAACAUUUUAGCCAAGCAAGCCAUCUUGAAAAAGAAAAAGGCAAUAUAUGAGAAUCUCGUGGAAUCCAACCUGCCAACACACAGUGGGAUAUGCAAGGUGCUUAAUCAUCAAUCAGAUUCUGGCUUUUGCUAUAAAAAAAAAAUCAAAAGAAUAAUCUAGUAAGGAAGACAUGCCGCUAGAUGAAGAGCUCAUAAUUAACACGUGACAGGAGGCCACUAAAAAGAUAAAGAUGCCAACUAGAAGCAUUAAUAUUUCAGAAAGAAUCCAAAGUAAAGGAUAAGACUUAUCGAAAUCCUUACCUCAACCAUGUGAAGACUAUCAACCAUUAGAAAAAGAAGACAAAAGUUGCCCUUAAUAAUGCAAGAAGAAGGGGUUACCUUAUCUCUGGGAAAUCUAUCAGGCAACAAGUGUCAUGUAAAAAGAUAUAAUCUUAUCUCUAAAAUCUAUAUGUGUAAGAAAGGAUUAUCUUAUCUAUCUAAAUCUAUAAAUAAAGUCACGUAAGAUAGAAGAGGUAUCACUCACGAGCAUUCUCUUAUUCUCAUCUGUAUUCUCUCUUUAAAUUCAAAAAUUAAAUAAAAAAAUUGUUUUUGAGUGAAAUUAUUAUCUUUAUAUAACUUAUUUAGAUUUUAGAAAAAAAAAAUCAAGAAUAUACAUGCCAACACUUGUGCUAAAUAAAGAAGAUUUCAUAUUACUAAGCACUCUUCUAUAUCAAUUACAACAGAUUCACUUAGGCAUAUCUUACUGGCUUAGUCUGCAAUGUGUUGCUUUAGGCCGUGUGGAAUAGUUGUGGGAUUGAUCUUGCAUGAUGUGUGGAGCUAUAACAGUGCUGAGCAUGGGCCAAUUUAUAGGCUCAUGGAACUAGCAAAAUUAUUCUAGAAUUUUGAGGAUUGUACUCUAGUUAGUACUCUAAAUUAUCUUAUUAUAUUUUGCACAAAUAAAUGAUAUAGAGUGAUAAUAGCAACUCAAUUUUCAUAAAACAUGGAAAGAUGAGUCGCCAAAUUUCUAGAUGCCAUAGAUAAUCUAGACUUUAGUAAGGAAUAUCAAGUUAUUUAUACAAUGAAAAUUGUUAAAUCUCGAUUAAUUGCAAGGAAGCACUUGUAGAGAGAUAUAGAGAGAAUAAACUAUUAGCCUAAAAGGGCUACACAUAUUGUAAUUUUGAUGAUAACAAACAUGUGUCUUAAGUGAUUUGAUAAAUAUUGUAUAUCACAUUUUCAUUAGUUCUUGAAAGAUAAUAUUUAUGAUGAAGUGAAUCACGAAAAAUCAAGCUCAAGACACUCAACGGACAACGGCGUGAUCAAGAAUAAAGUUUAGAGUUCAACGGAAUCAUUAUUGCGACAAUUCUUGUAAAGCCGGUAUGAUUUAAAAUAUGAAUGAUUUAGCAUUUAAAAAGCUCAAGAUUUUGUUUAAUAAAUCAUUAUUUUUUCAUAAAUCAAAAGUUUUACAAGUAUAAGCUAAGUAUUUUAUGAAAUUAGUUAUUUUUCAAGAUGUGGACUAAAAUGAAAAUUUUUUACAAUCUUUGAUUUUAAAAAGUAUUGUUUUGAAUUCCAGAGUUUGACUUAUUUGCAAACAUUUAAAACUUUUUAGGUCAUACUAUAAUUUAUGAACGUUUGAGGACCCGAAGUGAAAAUAUCCAAAAAUUUGAUAAAGAGUUAGCGGCUAAUCGCCUGAGGGCUAGCGGCUAGCUGCCUAAGGAAAAUCUCAUAUUUUCAAAUUUUGGACUAAAUUAAAAGAUUUUGAGAACUUUGAAAUUUAUAAGUAUUAUGUUAAAUUUUGAAAAAAAUUAUUAAACUUUGGACCAUAUCAUAAUUUCAAAAAGUUUUUAGAAUAACAAGUAUUAUUUUAAAAUUCAAAAGUUGGACCUGUUUGUAAAGUGUUAUAACGUUUUGGGCCAUAGUAUAAUUACAUAAAGUUUUGGGCACAAAUGUAACUUUAUUGUUCUGAAGCAACGAGCCGGAUAAAUUAAGUGGCUAGUCACUUGUUUGCUGGAAUUUACCCAUAACGGCUAAUUUUCAAGCUUUAUCUAUAAAAACUCAACUCCAACUUCAAUUUGGAGACUUUUGCAAGCAUAAACAAGUGCAUAAAAUAUAUAUUGAGCUUUUAUUUCGCAAAUCAUCUUAUAUUGAAUCAUCAUUGUGCUAUUAUUUGUAGAUCUACUCUAAAAGAGAGUUUUUUUUGUUGUAUUAUUCAUUUUUCUCAUCAAAUUUGUAAGUGUAUAAGUGUGAGAAACACUUAUGUGAAGAGAUUGAGAGAUAAUCUCUUGGUUGUAAAGGUUUAUUGACAUCUUGAAAGUCAAAUGUAAUGAACUUGAAGCCUUGGGAAACUUGAAUAGUGAAAUCCUUAAGGUUGGUUGGCUUGGAGGCAUGGACGUAGGCGGGGAUUGCGGAACCACGUAAAAAUUAUUGUGUUUGCUCUAUUUUCCCUUACUCUUCUAUUAUUGUACUUUAUUGAAUUUUUUAUUUUUUAUUUGAUUAAGACAAUAGAUUGAAUUGUUGUGCGAAUUGUUUAGCGUAAGUUUUAAAAUCUCAAUUCACCUCCCCCCCCCCUCUUGGAUUGCAUAACUUGCAUUUCAUAAACUUUAAAGAUAAUAAUUAAAUAUACGACAGCUUUAAGGAAGAAAAUAGAAUAGUAUUAAUAGAAUCUAUUUUAACCGGUCUUGAAAUAAUUCAAGACAGAUGCAAAAUAAAUAACAGGACUCUAAACCGUCCAUAAUAAGUCUAUUGAUGAAUAAAAACAAUAAUAGUGAUGUGAAUAUAUUCGGAUUUUAUAGAUUUUUAUGAAUUUGAUAACCAUUUAGAUCUUUAUAAAAUUAUAAUAAAACUUUAAAAAGCUUUAAAAAUAUAUGUAGAAAAGAUGGAAGAAGAAAUCAUCCAUUUAUUCAAAAUCAAUUAAACAAAAAUAAAAGGUAAAAUACUUGAGUUAUAUCAAUUAUACAAUUUCACAAAAAUUUUACAUAGAUUGCAAAAAGGUCCUUGUGGCACUACAGCAGGUUUCAUAAAUUUUUUACAUACAAAUUUUAUGUUUUAAAAUAUGAAUUUUUUUUUGUAUUUAAUACUUUGUUCAACUAUAUGUACAGGUCCUCAACGUGUUGGUUGAUGUUGAAUAUUCAAAGAUCCACAAGCUAUCAAUGACAACGACUCAAAUUAAACUAAUUCGUUAAUACAUAAUAACUGGGUUGUUUCCUAUGCUUGUUAAUGAUGUAGGACGUUGUUUUAGAAUUUUAGAAUUUUAAUUUUUUAGGUCUUCUGAUAUUUUCUUUUUUAAUUAAAGUUAGUGUCUUAGUCUUUUAUUUCUAUUGUAAUUAUGAUUUACUUUCCCUUUUUAAGUUAACUUAUAAAAGUAGAUUUACUCUAUUAUAAAUAAAGAGAUCUUGUUAUCGCUUUUAUAACUUCAACUUCAGUUAUUAAAUUAAAAACCCCUCUUUUAUAAUUUCCUUUGGUAUUAUCUAUUAAAAAUUCCUCUUUUAGAGUUGUUUGAUUAGAGUAUCAUUUAGCCUAUCUUAACACAGUAUUAAAAAUCCCAUUGAGUUUAAUCAUACUUCGAUUUGAGCGUAAUUAAUAGCAUUGAUUUGGUCCAGUACUUGAACGAUAUCUAGUGUUUUGCUUCUGCUACGCCCAAGGAGAAAAUGAAUUUCACCGUGAGAUAAGAGCAUUAAAAGGAAUUCAUAAGAAAUUUAAAUUAAAUUAGCUACGAAGUGAAAAUAAAUAAAUAAAUAAAUGAAUAUGAAGUUGAAAAUAAGUCUCGCCGCCUGGAUCCAAGGCCAAAACAUUCAUGAUAAGUUAGGUAAUUAAGUACAUGUUUUCAAGCUCUUCAUGAAGAAUAAUGUUAUUGAAAUAAAUCACAAAGACUCCCUGCGCAAAUUAUUACAUUGAUUAAAAAAAAAAUGCCAUAUCUUUAACAGGAUCGUGGCUCUCGGACUGUUAAUUACUUUAUUCCCUGCUUGGCCAACAGCUGGCCACUAAACAAAAUCAUAAAAAUUUUAAAUUUAGUCAAAUUGGUCCCACUUGAUGUCAUCCUUUUCAUACAUAAAAUUGUUUAACGUCAAGGUUAAAUAUGAGAAGUUUGGUAGAGACGGUAAAAAGGAAGUCUAUAUAAGGAGGGGAACGAGCUUUGUUUAUAGCACAAGUGAAACUCCACUUUAUUGAACGAUAGGGUCUCAAAUGGGCUGCCUCUUUGCCACUCUUUUGGUAGUAUCAGUCUCUCUUAGCUACUUGCCGUUAGAAGCCUCCGCAAACAAAUACUACUACACAUCUCCUCCCCCUCCCAAGUACAAGUCUCCACCCCCCCCGCCACCGGUUCACAAUUCUCCACCACCACCCCCGGUUUACAUGCCCCCGCCACCUCCUCCACCAGUCUACGUGCCUGCUCCGGCACCAACUCCAAUUUCCUAUUCCCCGCCACCUCCUGUCCCCAAGUCCCCACCACCACCUCACCCUUACGUCUAUGCAUCUCCCCCUCCUCCUUACUACUACUAGAAAGCGGCCAUGAAUAGCUCAUGCUUUUAUGGUAAUCUCAUUUAUUUUUAAAACU